rnacentral:lncRNA from 1 species
UAAAGACAAAUUACCAGCUUCAAUAGAAUUCCUUGCAGCAAGUCUAAAAUCAUUGACAAUUUGUGGAAUUUCAUCUGUCCUUAAUCGUCUUGGAGGCGUGAAUUCAGAAGCAUCGAUGCCAUUUAAUCGUAUCGGCUUGUCAGUAGAAGUUAUUGGAGCUUGCCCAUUUGGUUGAUAACCUGUAAGCAAGGAGAGAAAGAAUUAUAACCUGAAGUCUAACGACAGUAACUAACAUCCACAGCAGCACUCUUUUAAGUGGGAAUCCUUUGUUACAAAUUACUAUAACCACACGUGCUAUAUACUAGUUCUGAAUUCUGAGUUAUGUUAACAUCAAACUUCUUCCCAUCCAAUAAUAAUAAAGGAACUUUAACGAAAAACUCCCGGUAUUGUUCACUUUAAUGAAAAACUACAUUUUUACACUAAAAAGUUAAUCCUGGUAUUAUUCACUUUACCCUUUAUUUUUUCCUUAUCAUUAAAACUCAAAGUUUUCAAGCCAUUUUCAUUAGUUUUCCUUAAUAAUAAUACAAAUGCUUCCGAAACAGCAAGGUCAUAAGAGUGGUGUCUUCUUAUGGGUUAUGUUAAAAACACCAACUCGGAACUUAACAAGUCCAAGUUUUAUCGUCAUUUGAGCAACAAUGUUGUCAAUUAUAAUCACUCGCUCGUUCUGAUGCAUACACCAUUAUGUUAUACAUCAAACUUCUGAAUAGGUCUAAUUAUUCACUCAUGUUAACAAAGCAUUCUAUGGUAAAAGUGAGGUCAUAAAGGUGUAAGUCAGAAACGCACUGCUAUUAGAAACCCUUCCAACAUGCCAAAUCUGACAGAAGAAGACGCCACCUUUAGCAUGAACAGCAUCAACAAUGGGUUUCCAGGCUUCAACUUGCUCCAUUGUCCAUAUACCAGGUGUGUUCGGGUACCUUCGUAUAUUAAAGAACCAAAAAUUUCAUCAAACUUUGAAACGAAAUAAACGCCCUCAAAUGCUUGUUAGUCUAUGAAUCUACUGUUGUUGAAAUUACCCUUGAGCUGUGUCGGAAACUCCAGUGGCUUCAGCUAUGAGAAGACCCCCAUUCGAAGUUCUCUGAGAGUAAUAUAAGAUAGCAUGUGGUUGAGGAACAUUGUUGUAUGAUCUCUGUCUGGUCAAUGGUGCUAAAACAAUUCUGGAAAGGAAAAAGAAAUUGUAAAUUAUAAAUACAGAGUGAUCAAGACGGAAUGUGGGUGAGGAACAUUAUCGAAUGACCUGUAACUACUAAUUGUUGUAUGAUCUCUGUCCUAGUUACAAUGUAAAUAUACAAUAAGCGUAUUCUGCACGAGCUCCUAGGAAUUUGACAAUCAAACAAUCUUGAACACAAAGCAAGUAAUUCAUAGCGGUCGACAUCAAUACAAACCAACGAGCAGAAACUCGCAAACGAAACCCUGGUUAUCCAACCAAUCAACUAAACCAAUUCCUUGCUUUACAAGUAACGUGAACAAGCAAAUGUUACAUAAUAAACCAUCCAAUGAAAGUUGCUGCUUUUAUUUCUGAAAAUUCAGGAUUCUUGCAUAGGCAAAAAAACAUUUGACAAUCACAAAAACUGCCCAGUAACCUGCAAGUUGCCCAAAAAAUAAGCAGUAAUUUCAUUUUUCUUGUAAGAAAACCGGGAUUUUCUGCAACCCUGUUUCCAAAUGAACAAAACCCAACAGCCCAAAUCUCAACUGCUCCAGCAGAAUAAGUCAACAAAAUCAAUGCAGAAUGUAGAAGAAUAUAAACUGUAGAAAAGGUUGAGCCCGUGAGUUAAGUUACCUAUGAGAAAGAUUGAAGUUUCCAAGUUUGUAAGGAGCAAGGAGAGGGCUUGUGGGACCACCUACUUGAGCUUGAUUAGUGGUAGCCAUUUCAAUUCAACUGGUUUCAGAGCUUGAUCCUUAUUUUUUAUUUGAUUUGAUUUGAUAUGCUCUCAUAUUGGUGUAAGAAUCCUAUGUGAACUCAACUAGUUAUAGAUAAAGGAGAAAUAAUAUGUUGGUAAUACAAAUUAAUAAGAGUUUGGAUACGUGGAAAGCUACAUCAUAUAAUGAGGGGUAUACUUUCAUCGUGCAUUUGAAAAGAAAGCACUAAUCACAACCACCUCUACACUAUUGGGACUUGAAGCAACGGGAAAAUAACCGACCCUCCACGAUAGAUGGGAGUUGGCUGUCGUUGCUUCUAUAAGCGCAAGAGUUCCCUGCUCACAAGGAAGCACGUUCUGCAAUUAGGGUUCUAUCACCAUUGGAAUAUAAGGUCUUGAGUGAGUAGAAGAAUUCUUGAGUGUGUUAACAGUAAUCAUGGCUGCACCAGGUAAGUCUUUCUUGUCUAAUUUCAUAUCGUGACCUAGUAUGCAUGCGAAUAACUAAGGUUAUUCCAACAAUUGGGAUAUUUAUACCGUUCGGGGAGAGGAGGAAGAGGAACUAUAAAACAACACUAGCACUAGCUGGGGAGGCAGAGGCAGUGGUAGGCCGGGCGGCUCCUUUUGAAAUGUUUGAUGACGUUUGUAAUUACGUAAUCAUGUUUUUUUUUUUUUUUCUUUUCUAACGUAGGAAGUAUGGUAUUGGUAUCUGAUUGGACUAUCUCCAAAGAAAAUAUUAAAUUUUAGGCAUAAAAUUUCAAUUUAAAAGUUUAUGUGGCACUUUAAUCUUUUUUGAAAUUUUGUUAUUCACCGAUGUGUCAAAUUUAAAUUAUUAUUUAUCACAUUAAUUUACUUCUAAUAAUUGUAGUAAGUUUUUUAAAACAGAAAAUAAUAAUAAAAACGAGAAAAAGAAUUUAGUAAUCACUUAAAAUAGAUUUGAAGUUGUUGUCAGAUUUGAUAGCUACCACCUUUGUUAAUCCAUAUCAUAUCACAUAGGAAUUGGUAUUUCACUUGAAAAACACUAAUACAAUCUUUAUUAACUGUUAUUGCUAAUAUGGACUUUUCAUCUCUGAUACCACAUGAAAGGGUAGCACAUUUUUAGCAUUUUGAUCAAAUAAUCUAUCAAAGCAGAGCCGAUGGCCCAAAAAUAUAUCCUCAAAUUAAAAGGGUUAAAAUUUGUGCUCACUUUGCACUUGACAAAUCCCAAAAUAGAAAAAUUUCUUCCAACUGAAAGGAGAUGUCAAAUGUGAUGCGGAAUGCCAUGUGGGAUAGAAAAACAACACAAUUUCUUCCAACCGAAAUGUUAUUAGUUGACAUGGAUUGACUGCAUCGCCUUUGACUGUCUUUUUUGGUAGCAUAAGGCUUGAGGGUCAAAUGCUUUUAUUUUUAUUUUUUUUAACGAACGACAUUAUCUACACUAAGGGGGAGGAGAUGAGUUUAUCCUUAUAAUGGGUAGCAUUAAUAUGGUUCAAAUUAGUCUUUGGCAAGAAUCGAAUAUAAGAUUUCUCACUUACAAGUAAAAAAGAAUACCACUAGACCGUAUUACUAAGUGUCGCUUUUAAUUUUUUUUUUUAAUGCAUGAAUACCAUUGCCAACCAAUAAGAUGGAAAAAAAAAUCAUUUUUAAUAGUUAAUGCAGUGCCACUUAAUACAAGGAUCUCGUGGUAUUUCUCUUCAUUUGUAAGUGAGAGGUCUUAAGUUUGAUUCUUACCAAAUGCGAAGUUGAGCCAUAUUAUUGCUAGCCCAUUAUGAGGCUUAAGCCCACUUUCUCAUCUCCUUAGUGUAGAUAAUAUCGUUUGUUCAAAAAAAAAAAGACACAACCAUGUAGCCCAGUGUAUUAAGAGUGCUGAUAAACUUACUUCAUUGUCUUAUCUCUUACUCAUUUUUUAAUAUAAAAAAAAUUGGAUACUAAUCUAAUCUCUUGUAAAAUGACAUCUAAGGACCAAGCAAAAAUUAAAAAAAGAAAAUAGGACUCUCUUCUUUGUUCACCAUCUUUCUGCAACUACCUAAAUCCCUUCAAAUAAUUUUUUUUUUUUUUUUUUUUUUUUGUGUUCCACAAAAAAAAAAUUCUUUUUUGUUGCCCUAGCUUAAUUAUAUAUAAUAGUUGUUCAAAACACUUUACUAAUAUAAUAAUUAUUUAAAAUUUUGAAAAAUAAAAUGUGAGACCAGAAGAAGGAAUUGGGCUUGGAGAGAUGGAAUUGGGUGUCCCGAAUUUGAAAAUGGGGCAUGAGGAUGAAAUUUUGAGAAUGUUGCAUGCAGCUUGGUCGUGAGAAUUGGAAGGGGAGGAAAGGGGACUGCGUUGGGGGUCUGGAUAGAGGGAAGGAAGGAGAGUUGCAAUCAGCUGGAGAACUGGUAAGUGACCGAAUUAUGGGAUUCUUACUAGAAUUAAAAUCUGGAAGGGGAGGCUUUGAAAUUCGCGGUGGGUGGAGUCUACCUGGAAUUUCAACGCUCUAAUAUUUAUUUUUUUUCAAAAAUUAAAAAAUAACUUAGAUAUAUACAUUAGAGGUUAUUUUAAGAAUAAUAGUGGACAAAAUAGUAUUUUUAUUUUUUAACUUUUUUAGUGGAUGAAAUUAUAAUGUGAGUAAGAAAAUAAGACUUAGGGUGGAUCUUGCAACACUCUAUAUUAAUAAAGUAUAUAUUUAACAUAUUCAUUGUAAAGAAAAAAAAUUUAACAUCUCUAUUUGAUUGGCCACGUCAACCAGUAAAUUUAAUUUUGACAAUAAUUAUAUUACACGUUCAUUGAAGAUGCUGUUAUCAAAUCAUCAUACAAUGCGCUAGUUGAGAAUAGAUGGCUGCCAAUGUGGACGGCACCAACGACCAACGACCAUUUGACAAUAAUUUGGAUGCCUUACUUUUAUCCAAAUAAUUGCAUCCUAUUGUAAAAUCGACGGCGUGUUCAGUGAAAUAAAUAAACAAGACACAAAAUUUACGAGGUUCCUCUGCAGUCAGUGUGACUGGAGUACAUCCUCGGGACAGCAGUGGUGCUUUCAUUAUAAUCUGAAAUAAUAAGAGUACAAAGAUAACUCUCUCUAUUAUCUCCUCUCCUCUUCCUUUCUUUUCUCUCUUCCUCUUCCUCUCUUUUCUCUCUUCCUUUCUUCCUUCCUAUCUCUCCCGUGAGUCUCCCACAUUCAUCUCCCAAUCUUUUUUUUUUGUGUUCCAUAAGACUUGCUUUUAUAGAAGCAAAUCACAAGCAACAUAGUGAAAGGCUUACUAUAUGCAUGUGAGUAUUUACUAUACACAUUACUAUACACAUGUGGUACUUUACUAUACACAUUACUAUACACAUGUGGGCAAACAUACCCACUAUUUACAACACUCCCCCUUAGAUGCCCACAUAUCAAUAUCAGUUUUUGGAUGCUCCCCCUGACGAGUAUCUCCCCCUGAUUUCAACUUCUUUAGGCUAAUCAUUGAUCAUUAUGCUUCAGUCUCUUAGCAAAAAGAGUUGCCGAAAUAGUUACUUUACUUGUUGUUAACUUUCCACAGGCUUGUUCUUGAACUGGGCUGGAGGGCCUCAAAGGUCUGAAUUUACUUCUUUUAUCUGGAGCUAAAUUUAAUUCAAGGGUGAUGGACACUUGAUCUUGAAUCAAACUUGUGAUUUCUUCAAAGACCUUCGAGGCUUGAUCUUGAAUGAAGUUGUACCGUGAGGAGUUUCACGUGACAAGUGAUCUUCGACUUUGUCGGGGAUGAAUCAGCACGUGUUUGUUGCGCUUGUCUCCACAUGCUUCAAUAUAUCAUUUUCACUUGCCUUACUUGUUACCCUUGCAUAAGUGGUAUUUUACCUGGGUUUCCCCCUACAUGUGUGGCAUCUUCUCUUGUAGGAUUUGUCCCCUGAUGCAGGAGUGGAAUGCAAACCCUUGCAUUUGAAUGGUUCAUCACUUCUUGGUGACUGGAGACCCAGCUCCAACAACAGUUGAAGAUGACUACUCUUGCUCUCGUCCCUGAAGAUAUGAGAUAAUCUUGCUCUGGUGUGACUUGUUUGAAGAUGUAUUCUCGGAGAGGAAGAAAACUGAGUAUUUCGAGAUGCUGUGUUGAAGAUGCAUUCUCGGAGAUGAGGAAGAGUUGGACAUGCUUGCAGGUCUGCCUUGUUAUGGAGAACGGAGGUCGACAUAUAUAGAGAUUUCCCAAUAGCAAGUGGUGGUGCUGUGCCUUUACUCUUGUCAGCAACUGUGGUGUAAUUAGAACAAUAAGAUUUACGCGUUUUCAACUUUGUCAGAGAUCUUUGACAAAGUUGCAUGCAAUAUCCGAAAAAGCUGAGAUUGCGUCUGAAAAAUGCCAACGAACUUUAUUCAGGAAAUCUGGCUUUUGAAAUUCGAAGAACGGUGCCUCUUUGAUCUCUGAACAAGUGGCUAUGUUGCCUCUUUUUUUAUAGAGACAUCAGUUCAAGAGUAUGCUCAGAAAGUUGCUGCCUGUAGAAAUUUCGCCCAUCUUGCACUUCUGAAAUUUUAUUUGACCUCUUUUUUCCUUCAUCAUUUUUGAAAAUGACUUGCUCAUCUAACAUUUGCUUAAAUUUGAAUCUUAGGAGUGAUACAGACGAGCAGCGUCAGGAUAAAAUAUGGCGCCCGUCCUUCUUAUCUUCUAAUGGUUCUCUUACGGUUGGGGACUCUGUGAUGAAGAAUAACAUAACCGCUACUGUGGUAGUUAGGAAUCUUCUCACUCCAAAGGAUAACAGGAUCCUUUCAAAACGAUCUAAUGAGUCGACCGUUCAAGACUCAUUGGCUCUUAGUGUUCAGUGUGCUAGCUCUGUUUCCAAUAUGGGCCAACACCUACUUGCUCAAACUCACCAAGUUGAAUCAUUGAUGGCUGAGGUGGCAAGUCUUAAACAAGAGAUUAGAUGGCUCAAGCACGAGAAUAGACUGUUACACGUGCUUGCAAAUAAUAACUCGACGAGCAUGAAAAGAAAGCUCGAUCAGCUGCGAGAAUCCGAAAGUCGGAUUCAAAGUGAUUACCAGAGGUUCGUUGCUAGAUUCCGAAAGCAACUGAUGUCUUCCCCUUCUGGUGUUUUGCCAAGUACUGGGAUGCCACAUGAUCAAUCUCCAGUGCCUCCCCCUUCUGGGGUACUUUCGAGUACUGAAGCUUCACAUGAGCAAUCUUUGUGAAGGCUCAAUCCUGUUUGUUUGUUUUAACUCAUGUGUAUGUACAUAUCUGUAAUUUCUUGGAGAUAUUAAUAGAUAAGCUUUAUUUCAUUCAAUGUAUUGUGCCAAAUACAAUAAAGCAUAUACUUCACUAAGAUGUGGUACUUCUGGACCAAAUAUUAAUUUAUCUUUACCCUUAUGAAAAUAAAUGAUUAUUCUUAGUGUCUUCAUCAUUUGAGUAUUCAACUCAUAAUCUUCAAUCCAUACGGUUCUUUUAAUAUCAUAAACAUCAUGGAUAAGAUUCGUGUUGGUAGAUUGUUCGAUCUGCAACCCGUGACAAUAAUUCUCUCAACACUUUAUAAUCUUUCUUGACUCUUCAGGAGUCUCAAUUUAAUAUCAUCAAGUCUUCAAGAGUUCUAAUUUAAUGUCAUUGACUCUUGCAAGAGAUUUUCGUAUGUUGCAACAAUAUCAUAAUGAUAGUACUCACUAAGACAAUUUAUACCAUCCAUUGAUAUUGAGUACAUAUUUUAUGAUUUACCCUUCGGGGGCUUACUUCAAGCAAUUUGAAUCCUUCAGGGAUUUUCUACACUUCAUGACACAUUUUUCUUUGGAAUUUAUACAGAGCAAUUUGCUCCCAUGUAUACUUGAGGGAUUUACUUAUGGAGAUAUGAUGUGGGCGACUCACAACCCUUCGUAUAUAAUUCUCUAUUUAUAUGAACUCGUUUACAAGAGUAUAAUUUCAGGUUUCAAUUAGUAACCUUGUGUCAUAUCAUGUGAGUGUAUUACACUGUAUUACAAAUGCCCAUAUGUAACCUCCUUGGUUCAACAUCUUCUGGCUAUUUGUAUUGUAUUCAAAUAUAUAGGUCCAUUUUUCCACGUUCUUACAAAAUUGUAAUGGAAUUGCCUUUCUCCAUUUUUGGCCAAUAAUUUUCCUUUUGUCGACGAACAAAAGAACGUAAUUCAAUAUUAACACAGCUCAUUGAUGAAUUUAGUAGCUACUUGUAAAAACCAAAAUUACCAUUGGUUAUCAUCAAUCCGUGAUCCCAUAUUCUCAUGUGCAUGCACAUGCAUAAAAGCUUUUCAUUUCUUUGGAUAUCCAUUACCUCUUCAAGGGCAUGACACUAUCUAUUCCAGGAUAGUCAUAAUUUAGAGAAUGUGGAUCAUAACCUCCUCUUGAGCAUUAUUGAGCUUGGAUUUUAAUCUCCACUUCCGGGGAGUUGAGUCAUUGGAACCUAUACGUUUAUCAUGCUACAUGCAUGAGACAUCAAUAUUCCCAUGUCCGUGGAUUGUCCUAUCUGGGACGUGUAUCCAUGCGGCGACUGUCAUGCUUCUGGCAUGCAACAGUUAUGCUUCAGGAAUGUAAUAGUUCAGUAGUGCCAUAUUUCUUCUUUCGAAUAACUGAACCUUUUGAGUCUAAAGGUUUGUCACGCUUCAGGCGUGCAACAGAGAAAUUAUUUACUAGCUCACUAUAUUGUCCAACAGGGACAUUAAUUCUUGUAGGCACAUUUGCAACAAAUAUAUGUCAUUUCAUCACUUUCUUGCAUCAUUAAAUGCAUCUAGCAUUUGAUUGAUAUAUCGUUGCAUCAUUCAAUUAUUCUUACUUCAUUUUUAUGUUGAUUGCUUCGUGAAUCAAAAUAAGACAAAUUCUCUUCAUUCUUCUGGAACGGUCUUUUCUUAUCAUUCUUUUGAAAUGAUAUUUUCUCAUCGUUCUUCUGGAACAAUGUUAUUUUCUCCCCCUAACGGUGGGAAAUUGUCUUAUCAAAAUGACGAUCCGCAAACCACGCGGUAAACAUAUCCUCAAUCAAGGGUUCCAAAUAUUGAAUGAUAGAUGGUGUUCAACAUCAAUGCCUAAUCCGCGAUGAUGCCUCAUUUCAGUACGUUGUGGCAAUGCAAUAGGCACAUAGAUAACAUAACCAAAAACUCGUAAAAGUAUAAUGCUUGGCUGGUUCCCAAACACGAGUUGUACUGAGAAGUAUUGAUGAUUGGUAACAUGUCUCAACCGAAUUAAUAAUGCAUCAUGUAAAGUUUACAUGUCCCCAUGUAGAAAACUGGCAAUUUCGUUUUAAUGAGCAGAGCGCGGGUAAUCAAUUUCAUUCACUUAAUAAAUGCUUCUGCUAAACCAUUUUGAGUAUGGACAUAAGCCUUAUUUAAUAGUCUAUAGACUGAGACUCUUAUGGCUUUUAUUACAAUUAAGUUAAGGCACUGCAGCACUUCAAACUUACGGUACUCAUCUAGGAACUUCAUGUCCUGAUCUUGAGGAUCAAGGGACUUCAUACCUGAUCUUUUUGCGUGAUGGAACUUCAGGUCUAAUCAUUUUUAUAUGAUGAGGAUCAAGAAACUGCAGGUUCUCAUCUGAUCAAUGAACUUUAGGUCCUAUAUAUACUCAUUGUAACAAAAGAUAAGUACAAUAAAUAAAUUAAAGCAAUAGGCGGUAAUUCCAGCCAUAAUGAAUAAAUUGCAUUUAAGUAAAUAAAGUUUGUGACAAGGGCUUUAAUUCAGCACCAUCAAAACUUAAAGCAAUAGGCGAUAAAACCGUCCAUGAUAAAUAAAUUGCUUUAAAGUAAAUAAAGCUUGUGACAAGGGCUUUGAUUCAACACCAUUCACAUAAAUAUCAAAACUUUAAAGCAAAGGGUAAUAAUUCUACCCACUAUAAAUAAAUUGCUUUAAAUAAAUAGAAUUUGUGACAUGGGCUUUAAACAAACACCAUACACAUAAAUAUCAAAGUUUUAAAGCAAAAGGUAAUAAUUCUGCCCACUGUAAAUAAAUUGCUUUAAAUAUAUAGAACUUGUGACAUGGGCUUGAAACCAACACCAUGCACAUAUAUAUCAAAGCUUUAAAGCAAAGGGUAAUAAUUCUACCCACUGUAAAUAAAUUGCUUUAAAUAAAUAGAACUUGUGACAUAGGCUUUAAACCAACACCAUGCACAUAAAUAUCAAAGCUUUAAAGCAAAGGGUAAUAAUUCUACCCACUGUAAAUAAAUUGCUUUAAAUAAAUAGAACUUGUGAUAUGGGCUUUAAACCAACACCAUGCACAUAAAUAUGCCAAAACAGAAAAUGCAAUGAUUAAGUCCUCAUCAUUUGCUUUUUCUUUUUCUUGGUCUACCACUUCUUUUGUUUGAUUCCUUUUAUUUUUAUUUUUAUUUCACAGUUCUGAAGUCAUUUUGGUUACUCAGUAAAUAAUAGUAACAAUAAGUUCCAAUUGGUGUUCCUCCUCCGAUGAGUUUCGAAAAAGUCGAAACGGUUCCCAUAAGUUUUGGAGUCAAGAGUGUUUGCAACUUAUGAGAAGAUCCAACCGUUAGAUUUAGUUCACAUUUUAGUAUGAUAUGGAUAAGAGGAUACCGAACAACUUUCGUGAAGAAACAAUUUCAAUCUGAGCUACCGAAAUGGAGUUUUGGUACUCAUAAGGUGGAUGUCCAGUUUUCUGCGGAAAUUGGAAACUAGUUUGGUAUUUCAGACAUCUGUGAUGAUCGCACCGUUAAAGUGUUUUGAAAAUUUGAUAUGUUCUAAAUACUGAGCAGACGAACAACUUUCAAGAAGAAAGUAUUUCAAUCCGAGGACCGCAAGUUGGAGUUCCAAGGUUGUUUACAUGGCUGUCAAAUUCUUUACGAAUUUUGAGUCUGAACUCUUUUGCUUCUGCAAAGGAUGAUAUACAGUUAUACAACAAUAUAUAUAGUUGCUUCAAGAAAAUCAAUUGUACUGAGAUUUGAAGAUGAAAUGAAAUUUUUUUUGUUAUCUGUGAUAUUCCAGCUGAAGGAGGUGAACAUGAUUUGUGACGCUGUGCUUUCCACUGACAUAAGAGCUUCUCGUGCUGAUAACGUGUUGUAAAAUCGACGGCGUGUGCAGUUGAAUAAAUAAACAAGACACAAAAUUUACAAGGUUCCUCUACAGUCAAUGUGCCUGGAGUACAUCCUCGGGGCAGCAGUGGUGCUUUCAUUAUAAUCUGAAAUAAUAAGAGUACAAAGAUAACUCUCUCUAUUAUCUCCUCUCAUCUUCCUCUCUUUUCUCUCUUCCUCUUCCUCUCUUUUCUCUCUUCCUUUCUUCCUUCCUAUCUCUCCCGUGAGUCUCCCACAUUCAUCUCCCAAUCUUUUUUUUUUUGUGUUCCAUAAGACUUGCUUUUAUAGAAGCAAAUCACAAGCAACAUAGUGAAAGGCUUACUAUAUGCAUGUGAGUAUUUACUAUACACAUUACUAUACACAUGUGGGAAAACAUACCCAUUAUUUACAUCACAUCCAUGCUUUUUGGUUCAAUUAUUUUCUUUUUCUGUUUCAUCCUUUCAUUUGAUUCAUCAUGCUCAACGGGACCGUCAUUGUUACCAAGGGCCAUCAUCACUUUUGGUAGGAUUUUCAUUUGAAACUUGCUUCACCUUGUUACUCUUUUUCAAUUAUUCCAAUUAAAGAGGUAGAUGAUGCUUUAUUGCAGUGAUGGAAAACAAUUAUGCUUAUGUACUCUUGUGCAGUUUCGAUCCUCAUAGAUUCGCUUCCUCCUAAACCCAAAACCACUUAGACUUUCUUAACUUUUGGAAUCUACUACAUAUGUUACCUUCCAUUUUUUUGCCAUAAAAACAUCUUACCACUCACGUGGAGGGAUAUUUUUCGUCAAUCCACUUCCUAAAGCUCGCUACAAUGAAUUUGCACAAAUUCAAAAUGCAUUUUUUUAGCAACGUUGGAGUCAGGUAAUGAAGAGACGGGUUUGAUUUUGAGAAGGGUUGUUGAAAAAUUGAAGUGAAAAAUGAUUAGUGGCAUUUACAUUUGUUGUUUGGUAGAUGGUGGCUGCAUGUGUUUUUUCUGGGUUUUUGGUUCUUUAUUACUUAGACUUACUAAAAAUUCAAAUUAUUUAUUGUUUUGUUGUAGGCAUAAUUUACUGACCAAUUAUGGAGGCCAGAAAGAGAGAGAAGGUGAGGCAUGGAGAGAGAAGAGAGGGAUGUGUAAUUGUGAGAUGGAGAGAAGGUUCUAUUCCACCCCAUUGUGCCUUUAUUUAUAGUAGUAGGGAAGGUUAAUUCCUUACACUUUUAGGAUUACAACUCUAAUAGGAUAUUAACUACUAAGGGAAUAUUCAAAGAUGGCCCUAGAUACACUAUGAUUUAUACAAUCGCAUUCCUAAUCUAAUAGGACUACAACACUCCCCCUUGAGUGUGUAAAUACUCAACUAAAUGGCGCAUUAGGUCUUCAACGAUGAAGUAAGUACAAUUGAUGAAGUUGUCAGCACAAUGAGCGAAUGAGAGUCUCAUAUCAAUGAAAGAAUGCAUAAAAAGUAAAACUCACAAAACCUCGCUAUGGUAAAACCUAAGGUGGGAGAAAAACCCAUAGACUAAGGAGAAAAGUGAGAAGUUGCAUUAAAUCAAAACUAUACGUCUUCUGGACGCAAGUAGAAGAGCUCACAAAGGUAUGAUCAGCCCAGGAUGGGUGCCUCGUCAAAACCUAGUUAGGUAGCAAAAACCCAGUAGGAAAAAUGCUCCUAAUCGUAGGAAAAAAAAAUACAUUAAGAUCAAGUGAGUAUACUUCUGGAUACUCCCUCAGAGUUUGACAGAACUUCCAAAUGAGAACUACAGGCAUUGCAUAUGAAUAGUUAGGCAGACCAGUUCCUUAGACAAGCUUAUGGAAGGUUGACUUCGGUAGUGACGUCAUGUAGAGGUCGGCAAGGUUGUCUAGGAUUGGCUUGCAUGACUUCAAUCACCUGAUGCUUUGCUGAUGUAGAUGUAGAUGCAAUAGGUCUUGGCGUUGACUUUGUUGAUGUAUCAUGUCUUGGUCGGGUUGAUACAUGCGGCAUAGUCUUCAUGGAUCAUCAUCGGGACUCAACGAUGGAUGAUAACAGCAAGUACUUUGAAUAUGCUCAACAAGAACUCCUAACCAUGUCUUACGUGUGGCAUAGUGAAGUGAGAUAUAUGAUGCUUUAUUGCAGUGACGGAAAACAAUUAUUCUUAUGUAGCUUUGUUCAAUUUCGAUCCUUGCAAAUUAGCUUCCUCCUAAACCCAAAACUACUUAGACUUUCUUAACUUUUGGAAUCUACUACAUAUGUUAGCUUCCAUCUUUUUGCAGUAAAAACAUGCUGCCACUCACGUGGAGGGAUAUUUUUCGUCAAUCCACUUCCUAGAGCUCACUGAAUUAAUUUGCAAAAAGUCAAUAUGCAUUUUCCUGCAGCGUUGGAGUCAAGUCAUGAAGAGACGAGUUUGAUUUUGACAAGGGUUGUUGAAGAAUUGAAGUAAAAAAUGAUUGCUGGCAUCUACAUUUGUAGUUUGGUGGAUGGUGGCUGCAUGUUUUUUUUUGGGUUUUUGGUUCUUUAUUACUUAGACUUACUAAAAAUUCAAAUUAUUUAUUGUUUAACAUCGUAAUAUGUGUUUUGUGUCGGGUUUGUUGUGAUGACUGUAUUGGACAAUUGCUAAAGACAAAUCUUAGUCUAUUAGGUCCUUAUGCAUAGACACUGUUCUAAAAAUUCAUGUCUAGCAUAGCGCAGUCUAGGCGCUAGGCAACUGACCACUAUCCCGAUUAGUUGAAAUAGGGCACCUACACCUGCUUAGGCACCCGCCCAGACUAGCCUAGGUACCUUCCUAGGUCGCAACUCUCAUUUAGACAGAAAAUGGAUAGAAUUCAUUUUGCAUUUUAUUUGUUUCAAUAUAUUAUAAGAGACUUGUUAGAUAAUUAAAUGGAUAUACUUUAUAUGCUUGUUCCUCAUGUUUUUAUUAUAUUCUAAUACUUUAUAAUCUAUGUCAUUCUAUUUUACAAUUUAUGUAUUUAAGUGAAAUUAUCUAUUUUUUAAGUAUAAAUAGACACCUAUUUAUAUGAUGUAUAAUAAAUUUCAUUGUGACGAGAACACAAGUGGUACACCACGUGUUUUAAUAGAAGUGGUGGGAAAUUUUAUUUUUUUUAAUUAUUAACUUUUUAGCACACAUAUCCUACCAUUUGUAUAAUGACACGUGGUGCCCCAUCCCCUAUACCGGUCACACUGAAAAAUCUCUCCACUCUGGGAGGUUAAAGUGAAAGCAUGCCUUAAAUAACCAAAAAGAGAUUAAUGCAAUUUCAACAUUGAUUGUAAUAGAGGAGCAGUUAGCAUCAUACUAAUAUUGGAGUAGAGAGACUUGUAACAGAGAAAGCUCAACCAAAUAUCUUACAGAAUGAAAUUGAAGAAGAAGAACCAGAGAGCCUGAUGGGUACAACUUGGGAGAACUUAGAAGCCUAUAUGGGAACUCAUCUAGUGAUGAAGAACCGGAUUCAAUGAGAAGGAAUAGGAGGUAGAAGAAACAACCCAAGUUUAAACAUCAUAGAAAAGAAACUGAUGUCAGUACCAUAGAGUUUGAUUUGGGGAUGUCUUUUCUUAUUAGACUAAACAUAUAAACCAAGAUCAUGUAACAUGAAUCACAGCCACCCAAACACAAACUGUAGUUCAUGACUAUUGUACAGAGUAGAAAUCUUACCUGCAGAUGCACCAGAAGAAGAAGCCACUAUAUAUAGGUCUUAGUCCGAGACAGAGCGUAAUAUCUGUGAGAGGAUAGACCACUAUAUAUAUAGAACAUAAUCCUAGCCAAAACCAAUAAGGAUUUUCCUAUUAAAAUCCAUACAGCAAACUGAAAUUGUUUACAAUAGGUGAAUCAGUUCCUUGUUCUAUUUGAAUCCUAGAACAACAUGGAUUAAUAAUCAGUACUCAUUAAGACUUUCUAUCAAACUUGAGACGAAUCACCAAUUCUCUAGACUCAUGCUCAUAUUCUUGCAUUCCCAAGUUCCAAGGAAUUCAAAGAAGUUGUGAAUAGACACUUUUAUAAUAUGCAGGUCUUACGAGUUAACCACAAAUGGUUGGUACAAGGUUAAGGCUCAAAUUCAUGCCCUUGGCAAGUGAUGCUUCUAAUGACCAAUCUGAUAGACAUUCUCCUUUAUAUGUAAAACAUUUGUUCCAAAUCACACUUGUGGAAAAGAUGAAAACAAUACGAGUGUGACCAGUACUUGGUUGGCUGAGAGAUAUGCUGAUGAUAUGAAGAUCAAUCCCUUUUUUUUUUUAAUAAAGGACGGCAUAUAUAUAUGAAAAUCAAUCCUAAAAUGGAUGUUAAGACAAUGAAAGCUACAAUGAGGGAUUAUCCAUUCUAAUCCCUCUCCAAAUGAUAGGAUUGUGAGUGAUAAGUUUAUUUCAUUCCAAUCCCCUUUGAAUUUUAAGAGUUGCCUAUUCCAAUCUAAACCUAGAGACGAAACGCGGCCAUAUAUUACAAAGACAAAGAUUCUAAAACGGCCUUCGCUCAGAGAAGAAAAAAAAGCCAUGCAGUGAGAACAUCUAAGGGAAACGAGUUGAUCCUCAAUAAACGCCUCAAUAGAAUGACGUAUCUUUGUUAAAGCAUCUGCCACAAAAUUAGCUUAAUCUAAAACAUGAUAGAAGCUGAUAUGAUCAAGCAUCCCAUGUUUGCUGAAAAGAUGAAAGAAGGAUCUUUCCAAGUUUAGGAAGGUGGGAGUUGCCAAAGAGAAACCGAUUUGAGCCGCAUCUGCUCCAAAUAUCUCAGGCAAACGGUCAGCUGACAAAAUGCGGUCAAUGGCUUCAACAUCUUGAGAAUAAAAGGCACAACUAGGAUCAAUUGGUUGUACUUUAUAUAGGGAUAAGAAUUGAGUUUCCUCUUUCACAAAUGUUACUUAUUCAUUACGGCCAUUAUACUGUCAGUAUAACUUUUCCGGCUUCUAAGUUCGGAACCCUCCCAAACAUUGGACACUACAAUACUAGAUAAUGCAAUAAGAUACAACAGUACAAUACAAUAUAGUUGAAAACAAUCCAUCUAAGAUAGUACAGACUCAAUCGGACGAAUCAGGAGCCCUAGUGUUCAAGCUUCCACCUUUGCGGUAAACUUAAGUGGUGGCUUCAAGAAAUGGAUAAUCAGUGUAACCAAUGACGGGAUCAGGUAUGUAGAAUGUCUCUCUGUUGUACUUGUUUAGAGGAGCAUUAAGUUCAAAUCUCUUUGGCAAAUCUGGAUUCGCCAAGAAAAUACGGCCAUAAGCAAUAAGAUCUGCACUGCCCUUGGCCACAGCACUGUUUCCAUCUUCCCUAUCAUAACCACCAGCAGCAAUGAAGGUACCAUGGAAAGACUUUCUCAUGGGAAGAAGACUCUGGUGGGUUUCAUCUUUUUCCCCCAUUGUCUUCAUCCUCGGCUCAACCAUGUGGCAGUACACGAUUCCAUAUUUGUUCAAGGCAUUGGCCAUAUAGAGGCCUAAUUCUUUUGGAUUUGAAUCCCCUGAGUCCAUAUAGUCAGCAAAUGGAGAUAAUCUAAUUCCAACUUUAUCUGCUCCUAUUUCGUUAGCGACAGCUUCAACAACUUCCAGAGGAAGGCGGCAACGAUUCUCUAGAGAUCCACCAUAUUGGUCUGUUCGAUCAUUCACAUGAUCUUUCAGAAACUGAUCAAGAAGGUAGCCAUGCGCCCCAUGAAUUUCAACUCCAUCGAAGCCUAUAUAGCAGAUUAACAAUUUCAACAUACUGACGGUAUUAGAACCUUAAGCAUUGUAGCUGAAUUACCAAACAAAUAAUAUAAAGACAAACUACCGGCUUCAAUAGAAUUCCUUGCAUAAGCUUUGAAGCAAAUUGAGUUGUUGUAAAUUUUCUUUCAUUUUAACGUAAAGACAAAUUACCAGCUUCAAUAGAAUUCCUUGCAGCAAGUCUAAAAUCAUUGACAAUUUGUGGAAUUUCAUCUGUCCUUAAUCGUCUUGGAGGCGUGAAUUCAGAGGCAUCGAUGCCAUUUAAUCGUAUCGGCUUGUCAGUAGAAGAUAUUGGAGCUUGCCCAUUUGGUUGAUAACCUGUAAGCAAGGAGAGAAAGAAUUACAACCUGAAGUCUAACGACAGUAACUAACAUCCACAGCAGCACUCUUUUAAGUGGGAAUCCUUUGUUACAAAUUACUAUAACCACACGUGCUAUAUACUAGUUCUGAAUUCUGAGUUAUGUUAACAUCAAACUUAUUCCCAUCCAAUAAUAAUAAUAACAAUGCUUCCGAAACAGCAAAGUCAUAACAAGUCCAACUCGGAACUUAACAAGUCCAAGUUUUAUCGUCAUUUUGAGCAACAAUGUUGUCAUUUAUAAUCACUCGCUCGUUCUGAUGCAUAUACCAUUAUGUUAUACAUCAAACUUCUUAAUCGGUCUAAUUAUUCACUCAUGUUAACAAAGCAUUCUAUGGUAAAAGUGAGGUCAUAAAGGUGUAAGUCAGAAACGCACCGCUAUUAGAAACCCUUCCAACAUGCCAAAUCUGACAGAAGAAGAGGCCACCUUUAGCAUGAACAGCAUCAACAAUGGGUUUCCAGGCUUCAACUUGCUCCUUUGUCCAUAUACCAGGUGUGUUCGGGUACCUUCGUAUAUUAAAGAACCAAAAAUUUCAUCAAACUUUGAAACGAAAGAAGCACCCUCAAAUGCUUGUUAGUCUAUGAAUCUACUGUUGUUGAAAUUACCCUUGAGCUGUGUUGGAAACUCCAGUGGCUUCAGCUAUGAGAAGACCCCCGUUCGAAGUUCUCUGAGAGUAAUAUAAGAUAGCAUGUGGUUGAGGAACAUUGUUGUAUGAUCUCUGUCUGGUCAAUGGUGCUAAAACAAUUCUGGAAAGGAAAAAGCAAUUGUAAAUUAUAAAUACAGAGUGAUCAAGAUGGAAUGUGGCUGAGGAACAUUAUCGAAUGAUCUGUAUCUAGUCAUCAACGGUGAAAAUACAAUUCUAAACAGGAAAAACAUAUAAUAAACCAUAAAUACAACCUUCAGACUUUGUAGGAAGCAUUAGUUUGCUAAGGCUCCUUCAUAACAAAUUCGUUUUUAGUUUUCUUGUUUUAGUUAAAAAGGAGAAACGAGGGAGGAAGAAGGAAUUUGGGGCGAAAAUGUAUGAAAUAAAAAGUCGAAUUGUAGAUUAUCUGAAUUUGCUAAGGCUCCUUCAUAACAAAUUCGCUUUUAGUUUUCUUGUUUUACUUAAAAAGGAGAAACGAGGGAGGAAUAAGGAAUUUGGGACGAAAAUGUGUGAAAUAAAAACUCUAAUUGUAGACUAUCUGAAUUUGCUUUAUGUUCUUCAUUUUCGGUAUCAUUCCAUGCACAUUUGGUCCCUCAUCCAUCCCUUCCCCUUCCCCUUCCUCCUCCUCCUCCUCUUCUAUCAUGCAUUUUCUCUUUUACUUAAAAUUAAAAACUAAAAAUCAAAUACGAAAUCGUUACCAAACACAACCUAAACAAAGCAAUGUCUUACGAAGUGACCAUGGCCGAAAGGACACAUACUUUUAACAAUCUAUUGCAUCUAUUUUCAACAAUUAAUCAAUGAAAUAACUCAAGUGUACUGUUGUUUUGAUUUAAUUUGUAACAUCUGUACUAUUUUAUAGACAAAGAUACAGUUACUCUUUUUUUUUUUUUAGGUAAACUGGAAUUACACCAGGGCAAAGCCAGAGUACAACAGGAAAACCCACACAGAGGACUAACAUAGCUAAAACCAUUGAAACGACAAACAACAGAAUGAUCCAGGGCCAAGGACCAACACUAGUUCCGACAUUAUGUCACCCUUAAUCAUUCCAACAUAGACUCAACUUAGUGUGGGCAAGGUAGACCAUCCUUGUUCAACUUCUUGUCUCCUUCCCAACAUCUGUACUAUUUUAUACCAACAUGAUUCUCUCCAGAUUCUUUUGGUGAGAAUCUUGUCUGUUCAUCAUAAAUCGUGCGAUCAGUUUUUGUCAACUACUGUUCGUGUUUUAUUUUAAAUAAAAAUAUUUAAAAUAAUUUUUGACCGCACGAUGUACGAUGAACAGACAGGAUAACGGAUUUCCAAGAUUCUCACAAAGAGAAUCCGACGAGUAUCCGGAAUCUAUUUUAUAGACAAAGAUACAGUUACAAACAGUCCUUGUCUCCUUCCCCAAAUCAUUCUUCGUUUUUGUAUAGCUAUAUUUGACACACACACAUAAUAAACCACACAGUACGCUAAACUUGAAUAUAGACAAGCAGUAAUUUCAUCUUCUAUUUUUCUUGUUAGCCAAUAGCCAUCUGCAGACCUAGCUACUCUCUGAAUCCAAGUUCGGAUCUCCUCUCAUAGUUUUUACAACAUUAUAUUAAAAUAACGCCCGAAUAAAAUAAAUUAAACAAUUACACGACAGAGAAAUUUAAGAAGUAAACAAAUAGGAACAAUGUAUGAAAGUUUUAAGUACCUAUGAGAAAGAUUGAAGUUUCCCAAUUUGUAGGGAGUGAGGAGAGGAAUUGUGGGAGGUUGAGCAGCAGCAGACAUCUCAGAAUUCGAGUCGGUCGUCUACCACCUGAUCUUGCACUUGGCGUUUUAUACUGGAUUCUGGGAUGAAGGAAGGAAGGAAUGAAUGAAAACAGGACCCAAUUGGGUCUUUUAUACGUUCGGUAGGAGCUUAAAAGUCCGCCCUGCAGCUUUCCUCCACAAAAGUCAGAGAAGGCCGGGUCCCACAUCUCCCCUCCCUUGUGUGGUGGUGGCGGCGGCGGACGUCGGUGGGUGGAUGAUGGAUCUCUCCAAAGCAUUAAUUAAAUCGAUUAGGUGAAGAGAGGUAGGAAGGUUUGAUGAGGUCUGUAAUUACGUUUACGUGGGUUGAAAAUAAACCAGUUUUAUGAGGUCUGUAAUUACGUUUGCGUGGGUUGAAAGUUCACCAGUUUUCCCCAUGAAAAAGGACGUCUACGCACGUUCAUUUCGAUUUUGCUUUUUCAUCCUGCAUUAUUAGGCCAUGGUUAGAAAAAAUAUAUUAUAAUUUUGUAAAAAAAUUAAUUUUAAAUUAAUAGUGUCAGAUCAUAUUUAUAUACUAUCGCUAACCAAAUGAGCUAAACAUAGCCUCAUCAAUUUCCGAUGGAUAGCUAGACUAAAAUUCUAUGGAGCUCAUCAAGCCAUCAUUUGGCUAAAGGGGCAUUGGGCUGGCCAAAUGUAGCCCCCCUUCUUAGCCCUUUUUGGAGCCCAGCUCCUCUACUGCACUAUUUGAGUCAAAUUCAAUAACUAUGUUUGAAAACAUUUAAUGGAAGUUUAAUUAAAUUAAUCAAUAAAUUUAAUAUAUAAACUUAAAACUAAGUAAUUAUUGAGAGGGUUAUGUUUAGCCACUUCAGUGACGGUAUAAGUAUGAUGCGAUAUUGUUCAGUCAUUUCGGUUAAUGAUGGCCUACGGUUAGAAUUUUGAGGAUAUGUGAGACUAAAUGCAUGUUAGUUACAAAAUUAUGUUUGUUUAGAUCACUUGAAAUAUUUGACAACUUAAUAAAGAAAAACCAACUUAAAAUCCAUGAAUUAGAAAACUCAUUUUCUUUUUUGGUUUUAUUAAGUUGUCAAAUAUUUAAGCUUUUGAAUACAAACUAAUAUAAUCUUGUGGCUAAUAUACAUUUGGUCCUCACAAAUCUUUAAAAUGAAGACCUUACUUGAUCAAUGAAUUUAUGACAAAUUAAAUAGUCUAAAAAUAAAAGGCUCGAAUUAGGGCUAGGUUCAGUUCAAAUCAGUUCAAUUUUUUUUUCAGUUUGGGUUUUUUUUGGUUCCAAUUCGGUUUUUUUCGUGAUUUUUUUUAAAUCUUUUUUUUUUUGUCAAAAAUAUAAAGAAGAGUAAUUUUACUUUUUUUUUUUUCCGAUGAACUAAGAAAUUAAAGAAGGAACUUGAAUUAAAACUAGGGCAACUCGCAAUGAUGGCUGCAUCAACAAAUCAUCCAUAUCUACAAUACGAACAGAAACCUUUGUAAAUCAUAAAGUCCUUAAUGCUGAAUCCUUUAAGAACCAAGACUUGAAAACCCUAAAUCUGCAAUACAAACCCACAAGUAACAAACAAACCCACAACACAAAAAUCGACCAAAUCUGCAAUACAAACCAAACUCCCUCCAUGGCGCCAUGUCGCUGCCUCCGUUUUCCGGCCAAACCAAGGCGAUUUAACAUAAAAAAAAAAGGUACCAUUCUCUUCGUCUCAUCUAGAAGUAUGAUUUUUGUUUUUGAAUCACUUGAUUUCGUUGAGUAUUCAAGAAGUUAUGAACGUUUAAAGUUUACUCAGUUUCUGGCGAGUUUUCAAGUUUUCUAUCUUAUUCUACACUUUCCUAUCUUCAUUUUGAUAUUUUAUGGGUCGAAUUUGGUUAAGAAACGAUUGAGUUAUAAAGCUUUGAAAAUUGCCCAAGAACUCCGGGACACUUAACGGAGUUUUUAACGGAAUGACCAAAAUGAUGGAUGGUGGACAAUCUCAAGGACCACUUUUAUCGAUUUGAAAUGUUAGGGACCAAGGUGAUGAGUUAUGCAAAUCUCAGGGACUAUUUUGACUAUUUAGCCUUUUUUUUUUCAUAAACGAAAAUAAUUUUUUUUAAUGAAGAUAGAAAAGUGUAGAAUAAGAUUAUACCUAUUUGGAAGCCCAAUGGCUGCCGGAGAUAGCCGGAAAAUAGCCUCAAAGUUGACUGGUCCGAGGGAAAAUUGGAAAACUCGCCGGAAACUGGGUAAACUUUAAACGUUCAACUUCUUCAAUACUCAACUAAAUCAAGUGAUUCAAAAACAAAAAUCAUACUUCUCGAUGAGACGAAGAGAAUGGUACCUUUUAAGACGGUUAAAUCGCGGUGGUUUGGCCAUAAAAAGGCUCAAAAGUGUCUAACUCGAGACCAAGACAGCCACUUUGGAACCGUUUUCCGGGCAAACCACGGUGAUUUAGCCGUCAAAAUAGGUACCAUUCUCUUAUUAUCGUUGAGAAGUAUGAUUUUAGUUUUGAAUAACUUGAUUUCGUUGAGUAUUGAAGAAGUUAUGAACAUUUAAAGUUUACUCAGUUUUUGGCGAGUUUUCCAGUUUUCCUUCGGACCAGUCAACUUUGAGGCUAUUUUCUUGCUAUCUCCGGCAGCCAUUGGGCCUCCAAAUAGGUAUAAUCUUAUUCUACACUUUCCUAUCUUCAUUUUGAUAUAUUAUGGGUCGAAUUUGGUUAAGAAACGUUUGAGUUAUGAAGCUUUAAAAAUUGUCCAAAUUUCCAGCCAAGAACUCCAGGACACUUAACGGAGUUUUUAACUAAAUGACCAAAAUGAUGGAUGGUGGACAAUCUCAAGGACUAAUUUUAUCGAUUUGAAAUGUUAGGGACCAAAGUGAUGAGUUAUGCAAAUCUUAGGGACCAUUUUGGCUAUUUAGCCCAAAAAAAAUUGCAAACUUUAAAUGAUAAUAGAACAAAGUAAUACUAAUUUAUAAUAAAGAAGUCAGGUUGUUAAUAGAUGAAUUUGAUUGAAUUUUUAUUGUGUUAGGAAGUGUUAGGAGGAGGAUACAAUUAUCUUACUAGACUACGACACUUGUACAUCAUUAGCAUCGCAAGUACUCAUUUUCCAAAUGUGCAUUACAUUUGAUUUUAAAAAUUUGGUAUUCCUACCAUUAUCCUGAAAACAUAUAUAUUCACAUAUAAACUUUGUUCUUAUUGUGAGGAAACUCCAAAUGUUGAAGCCAUAUUCUUUAAUUGGUCUAUGAUUGAGGAGUGACCGUUGAAAUGUGUAGACUUCAAAAGGAUGUCUAACCUAAUAAUAGUGGUAAUUGUGGUUGAAUCUGAAAUAUUUGACUGCAAAUUCACCGGUUCUUUAGACCUUUCUGAUUCUCUUCGUUAUCUUUACUGGCAUGAUAUCCACUGAAAUCUUUACCGUAAAAUUUUACUCUAGAAAAUCUGGUUGAGCUUCAUAUGCCCGUAUGCAAUUUUAACAUUGAUUGUAUCAACAAGAAAGAUGUAAGACAAUGAAAGCUACAAUGAGGGAUUAUCCAUUCUAUAUAUGAAAAUCAAUCUUAAAAUGGAUGUUAAAAAAUUGAAAGCUACAAUGAGGGAUUAUCCAUUCUAGUCCUUCUCCAAAUGAUAGGAUUGUGAGGGAUAAGUUUGUUUCAUUCCAAUCCCCUUUGAAUUUUAAGAGUUACCUAUUACUUUAGUCUAAAGUAGGGGGAGGUGGCAUUGUGCAAUUUUGGGGUACAUUUCAGUUUACUUACGAAAUUGCCAUUGAGUCUCUCUGUUCCCUCAUUUAACGUUAUUUGCAAAAUUGCCAUUGGGCUUCAGAAAGGGUUUUGGGUCUUUGGGCUGGAAUUUCCGUCCAGAUUGGAAUUUUCGAUUAUUCGAUCCACGCGUUGAUCAUCGCUGGAUCGCCAGCUGUGUGGUAUUUGGUGAGGGGAUGGGUUACGUGUCCAUCAUUGUCGGAAGGUUUCCUUCGACUGCAACUUCUCGACUUUUCGUUCUGUUUCAACUUCUCUCUCACAAGCCUCUGCUUCAGUCGCUCUUGAUCUUCGCCUUUUCUAAGGCGUUUGAGGGACAAAAACCGAAAGCCAAACCACCACCACAAACGAAGUCACAAAUAGGGAUGGGCAACGGUUAUGGCGGACGGGUAACCGCGAUUAUUUACCCAUAACCAUUUAUACUUAUAUCCGCAUAAUUGUUUACCCGUUGGGUAAUUGCCCAAACAGUUAUACCCAUACUCAUAACCAUUUAUAAACGGUUAACCAUACCCAUAACAGCAUACCCAUUUAACCAUAACCGUUUAAUACCAGUUUACUCAUUUACUCUUUUUAACCUGUUUAAUUUUUAUUUAUUUUUUAUCAUUACCUCUUUUUUCACCCUUCUACAUGUUUUUUAACAACUUGAAAAUUAAAAAAAAAAUGUCAUAAUUUUUUUUUGGCAAUUAAACACCGUUAUAAGCACAUUCAUCUUACAUUUCCGUAUUAAAAUUUUUUAAAUCCUUAUCUCAUUCUAAUAAUUGAAAUAAUUUCCGGCAAAGACACAACGGUGUGCACUCGUACGUGGAUUAUUUAUAUGCUCAGCAAGCACCCUUAUAUGCAAGAAAAGGUUGUAACGGAAGUUUGAGAAGCAGCAAAUCUGAAAGAUGACUCAAGCAUUGUUGAACUUGCAGACAAUCUUAAUGAAGAUGCCCUUAAUAAAAUGCAGUAUGUCUUAGUAGCUUUGACUGAGACACAAAGGCUCUACCCUGUAAUUCCACUGGAAAUUUGACUAACAUCUUAACUAAAUCUAAUGCAUGCAUACUGCAAGGGAAAUGAUUUCAGUGCGCUCCCAUUUAUUUUUCUCACUUAAAUUUCUUUUGAUUUAUUCAAUUUAAGAAUAGAAAUACUCCAUGGAUCAUCGUUUAUUACUUUUUAAUUAAUUAAAACACUGCUAUAUAAACCACAUUAUAGUCAAUAGUAUUGAUCUAAGUUUUGUUUGAUAGAGAACAUGAUUUGUGUUAAUUUUAUAUAUAUAAAAUAAAUAGAUAAACGGUUACUCAUUUAUAACCAUGAUUAAUACUCAUAAUCAACUAUUUAUAUUUUACGGAUGAACGAUUAUACCUAUAACCGUUUAUUUAUUUAAACGGUUACCCAAAUGAUCGUGUAACCGCGGAUCAUCCCUAGUUACGAACGCCACUCUCACUCACCCUCCACCGUUACACACGCACCCAAUCAUAAUUCUGAAAUCCAAACACAACCCAGAUGUUAAUCCUUCAGAGAAUGGCAAUGGCCACUUCUUCUUCCUUCCUCUUAAUCCCUCUCCUCAAUACUCUUCUUUGCUUUCCCCAGUUAAACACCAAGCUCCGAGUUCAGGUCUCUGUCCUUGUACGGCGGUAGAACUGGAGACUCCACCUCCUCGGCGAUGGCCACAGAGGCUCAGGUCUCGACCCAAGACGACAAAUUGAAGGAUGCCCAGAUGGAGGUAGCUGAUAAACCUGAGACAGUCGUGCUUCCAACCAACGAGUCCUCCGAAAGCCUCAUCAUAAUUCGACACACGGUAUUUAUUGAAAUUUCAUUGCUUUGGAUUGGAUUUAUGAUUGUUUUAUGUUAAAUUGAAGUAGGGUGCUUUCCUGUUGAAUUUUUUGAAUUUUUAGAUUCUUAGGAGCUUCCCCUUUUUGAAAGUUUGAUGCUUUUAAUUAACUAUUUUCAAUUCUGCGUUACUAAUUGUCACCUGAUUCUAUUGUGAAGAAUGAGGAAGUGAGGAUGAAGAAAAUAAGAACCUAACUUUUCGGUAAUUUGAAAUUUGAUCGAAUAGGACAUGGAAAAAUGGGUGUACAUCAGUAGAUAAGCUGGGAAAAUUUUCAAGACUUGGAUUGUCUGCCCUCUAAUUUUGGUGCCCUCCCAGUGCCCUCUUGUUUUUGUGGUCAUGGUUAAGCCACAUCAACAUUUUAUAGUACUAUUUCUUUUUGUUUUAUUAUUUUUAUAAAAAAAUGAUAUAAAAUAUUGACGUGGCUUAACCGUGACCACACAAAACAGGAGGGCACCGAAAUGGGAGGGCAGACAAUCCAAGUCCAAAUUUUCAUCCUGUUUUUGGGAAUGUGAGAAGAUACAUGGGUUUCUGUAUUUUGAUAAAGUGUUGAGGUCGAGCUAUGUUCAUUUUUUUCUAAAUUUCCAUGUAGUUUGGUAUUAAUGGCGUCUUUUCCGCUGUUAUGGUGAUGAACUAUUUAUGUGUUUGACUGCAGUGUGCACACGUGAUGGCCCUGGCUGUUCAAAAGCUCUUCCCGGAUGCAAAAGUGACAAUUGGUCAGUGGAUAGAAAAUGGGUUCUAUUAUGAUUUUGAUAUGGAGCCUUUGACAGACAAAGAGUUGAAGAGAAUCAAGAAGGAGAUGGUAAGUGGAAUUUCUUUAUAAGUUAUCAUGUUUGUAUCAAAGUUUUGGAACCAUGAAACUAUUGAAAACUAUUCAUGAUCAUUUCUUUUGUGAUUUGUAGGAUCUCAUCAUUGGUAGAAACUUACCACUCAUAAGAGAAGAAGUUUCAAGAUAUGCUCACAAAAGAAUAACUGCGCUCAACGAAGCAUACAAAUUGGAAAUUUUGGAUAGUAUUAAAGAAGAUCCCAUUACCAUAUAUCAUAUUGGUAAGGGUUUCACUAUUUUCAGGCUCAAUAUAGUUUGGAAGGUGAUGAUUUAAUGUGCAGGAACUGUGCGUAAAUGAUAUUUUUAUUAGCUACACAAGUGAAAUGUACAGUGUUUGUGUCGAGUCUUAAGAUGGAAAUUUAAGGGAAUAAAAAAGAGAGGGCGGGGGUGUGCUCAGGGAAAACAAUGUUGUUGGUGCUCUUUAAAAAUGAGUUAUUGAUAUGCAAAUUGAAAAGGAGACUAAUUUGAAGGUGGGAGGAACCUUUUGGUCAAGCUAACCAAUUAUACUUAUGUUUAUACAUAUGCAUGCUUGUACUGGGAUUUGAUUGUGUUUUGAACUAGCAUCCUGUCAUAUUAGACUGUCUUUAUGUCAUAAUUCCUCAUAGUAUGCCGAAUUCUUCUUAUGUGAUGAAUGGUAGGAAGCAUGUGCAGGGCCCCAUGUUGAAAAAACUGGAAAUAUUAACGGAAAAGCUGUCGAACUUGAGUCUAUUGCUGGUGCUUGCUGGAGAGGAGAUGAAAAAAACCAAUGCUGCAGAGGAUCUAUGGCACUGCAUGGGAGAGUGAAGAUCAAUUGAAGGCAUAUCUUCAUUUCAAAGAGGAAGCUAAACGUCGAGAUCACAGGGGCUUUGAUCAAGUUCUUGACCUGUUUUCUAUACAGGUACUCAGAAUUGCCCUGAAUCUCUUUCUGCUGCUUACGCAGAUUUAUCAGUUAGCAAUCCCAUUAUUUGUAAUUAUGAGGAUUCUUGCAUUAACUCUGCCUGUGUAAGUUUAUCUUACAUUGCCGGUCCCAAGUCCGGGUAAAGGAGGAGGGGGAGGGCGUCAGGUAGUCGACAGCCGGCACUCCACAGUUACGUCGAAUCCUUAUGAAAAUGAAUCCAGAACGAAAUCGCGCUAAAGCUAGGGCGUCACCCGUAAGUGGCGCGCUGUGUGGCCCGAGCACAGUGAUAAGUGAGCAAGGGUCGCUGUAUCUCCAUCGGCACCCGGAUGCAGUGUUAAAUGAGCAAGGGGGCCAUAGAAACUUCUUUUCGAACGACUCCACUCAAAGUUGUUUGGGAGCAUAUACUCCUAUCAACUUUACACAGGACACACAAAAGAAGUACUUUGAUCCUAUUGGACGGGGGAGGGUGAAGAAGCUAGGACAAAAGGGUAGAGUUCAAGAGAGUAGAAUGCGUUUAGGAACGUGGAAUAUAGAAACCUUAACGGGAAAAUCUAUAGAAGUAGUGGAAGUUAUGGUGAGGAGAAGGAUAAAUAUUAUGUGCCUACAAGAAACUAAGUGGGUUGGUCUUAAGGCAAAGGAUCUAGAAAACUUAGGGUUUAAACUUUGGUAUUCGGGCACAAGUAGAACGAGAAACGGUGUUGGCAUCAUCUGUGGACAAGACCUUGACACAAGAUGUUGUAGAUGUCAAGAGGGUAGGAGAUAGAAUCAUGGCAAUCAAGAUUGUAAUAGGACAAGAACUCAUCAAUGUCAUUAGUGCGUACGCACCUCAAGUAGGGUUGGAUACGAGUUCGAAGGAGAAAUUUUGGGAAUACCUUGGAGACUUGGUGCUGGGAAUACCUUGGAGACUUGGUGCAAGGAAUUGCCCAGACGGAGAAGUUAUUUAUAGAGGAGAUUUAAAUGGACACGUGGGCAGGGAGACAGGCAACUAUAGAGGUUUUCAUGGUGGCCAUGGUUUUGGGGAGAGAAACGAGGAUGGGGAAGCUAUCUUGGAUUUUGCAAUGGCAUAUGAUCUCUUCUUAGCCAACACAUUCUUUAAGAAGAGAGAAGAACAUGUGAUCACCUACAAGAGUGGGUUGUCAAAAACACAAAUAGAUUUUCUUCUAAUGAGGAUAUGAGAUCGUAUAACUUGUAAGGAUUGCAAAGUUAUACCGGGAGAGAGCUUGGCUAAUUAACAUCGCUUGUUGGUGAUGGAUGUACAUAUCAAAAGAGUGAGAAAAAAGAACAAGACUUGGAAGUGCCCAAGGCCUAGAUGGUGGAAUCUAAAAGGAGAAAAACAAGCCAUUUUCAAAGAGAAAGUAAUCACCCAGUGUGGGUGGGAUAGAGAGGGGGAAGCUAGCUAAAUGUGGGAUUCCAUGGCUAGUUGUAUCCGAAAAGUAGCAAAAGAGGUAUUAGGAGAGUCCAAGGGCUUUGCCCCACACCAAAAGGAAUCUUGGUGGUGGAAUGAGGAGGUACAAACAAAGGUGAAGGCUAAGAAGGAAUGUUGUAAAGCCUUAUACAAGGACAGGACCGAUGAAAAUAGUGAAAGGUAUAGAAGAGCGAAGCAAGAGGCUAAGAAAGCUGUGAGAGAAGCUAAGUUAGCGGCUUAUGACGACAUGUAUAAGCGACUAGAUACCAAAGAAGGAGAGUUGGAUAUCUAUAAACUAGCUAGAGCAAGGGAAAAGAAGAUAAGGGACCUAAACCAAGUGAGGUGCAUCAAGGAUGAGGAUGGAAAGGUUCUUGCUACAGAGAAUGCGGUCAAAGACAGAUGGAGAGGUUAUUUUCAUAAUCUUUUCAAUGAAGGACAUGAAAGGAGUACUUCUUUAGGGGAGUUGAGUAAUUCAGAAGAGUGUAGAAACUACUCAUUUUAUCGUCGAAUCAGGAAGGAAAAAGUGGUUGUAGCUUUGAAGAAAAUGAAGCAUAGAAAAACAGUGGGCCCAGAUGAUAUAUCGAUCGAAGUGUGGAAAGUCUUGGGAGAGACAAGUAUAGCAUGGCUCACUGACCUUUUCAAUAGGAUUUUGAAAACGAAGAAGAUGCCAACUGAGUGGUGAAAGAGCACUUUGGUGCCUAUAUACAAGAAUAAGGGCGACGUACAAAAUUGCAUGAAUUAUAGGGGUAUUAAGCUAAUGAGCCAUACAAUGAAGCUCUGGGAGAGAGUCAUUGAGCAUAGAUUGAGGUAAGAGACACGGGUUUCGGACAACCAAUUCGGGUUCAUGCCAGGGCGCUCAACCAUGGAGGCAAUCUAUCUCUUACGAAGAUUGAUGGAAAGAUAUAGAGAUGGGAAAAAGGAUUUACACAUGGUCUUUAUAGAUUUGGAAAAAGCUUAUGAUAGGGUCCCAAGAGACAUUCUUUGGAGGAUUUUAGAGAAGGAAGAAGUACGAGCAGCAUAUAUCCAAGCUAUAAAGGAUAUGUAUGAAGGAGCAAAGACUGCCGUAAGAACUCAUGAAUGACAAACCGAAAGCUUCUCCAUAACUGUAGGAUUACAUCAAGGCUCAUCCUUAAGUCCUUACCUUUUUGCGUUGGUAAUGGAUGAGUUAACAGGACAUAUUCAAGAUGAUAUUCCUUGGUGUAUGCUUUCCGCAGAUGAUAUAGUGUUGAUAGAUGAAACUCAGGAAGGGGUAAAUGCGAAGCUUAACCUUUGGAGAGAAAUGUUGGAAUCUAAAGGUCUUCGCCUAAGCCGAUCAAAGAAAGAAUAUAUGGAGUGCAAGUUCAGUGCAAAUGGAGGCCAAAAUGAGUUAGGGGUGAGGAUCGGAGAUCAGGAAAUACCAAAGAGCGAUCGUUUUCGCUACUUAGGAUCUAUCUUGCAAAAGAACGGAGAAUUAGAUGGAGAUCUCAACCAUAGAAUACAAGCUGGAUGGAUGAAGUGGAAGAGUGCAUCCGGCGUGUUGUGUGACCGUCGUAUGCCACUGAAGCUCAAGGAAAAAUUUUAUAGGACAACAAUAAGGUCGGCGAUGCUGUAUGGCACAGAAUGUUGGGCGGUGAAGCAUCAACACGUACACAAAAUGGGUGUAGCGGAGAUGAGGAUGCUUCGUUGGAUGUGUGGGCACACGAGAAAUGAUAAGAUUAGGAAUGAGGAUAUCCGAGGUAAAGUAGGAGUAGCCGAAAUUGUACGAAAAUUGAGAGAAAAUUGGUUACAGUGGUUUGGACAUGUGCAAAGAAGGCCUACUGACGCUCCGGUUAGAAUAUGCGACUACAGGACAGAGGUUUAGGGCCGAAGGGGUAGAGGAAGACCUAGGAAAACUUUGGAAGAGACUCUAAGAAAAGACUUAGAGUAUUUGGAUCUAACGGAGGACAUGACACAGGACUGAGCACAAUGGCAUUCUAAGAUUCAUAUAGCCGACCCCACUCAGUGAAGAAGGCUUUGGUGUAUUUAACACAAUACGUUGAAAUGAAGCAAAACUUAUUUAUUGAUAUCUCCGAUAAGUUACAAAUAUGUACAUAUACAUGAGUCAAAAUAAACAAACAAGAGGGAGCCUUCACAAAGGUUGCUUAGGAGAAGUCUCAGCAGUUGGUAGAGCCCCAGAAAGAGAAGGCACCGGAGGGGUAUCAUUCGAAGCCUCAGUACUGGACAGAACCCUAGAAGGAGGAGGCAUCGAAGGUUGAUCAUUUGGAGCUUCAGUACGCGGUACAGCCCCAGAAGACGAAGGCAAUAAAUGCCUUUGGAACAAACCCACAAACCGCUGAUGAUCAAGUAAAACCUGACCAUCAGAUUCCUUCAUCUGGUCAAGCUUCCUCUUCAUGUUUGUAGCAUAGUCAUGUGCGAGCCGGUGCAACUGUUUAUUCUCAUGCUUGAGCCCUCUAAUCUCUUAUUUGAAACUCAUCACUUCAGCCGCCAAUGAUUCAACUUGGCAGGUUCGAGCAAAUAGGCGCUGGGCCAUAUUAGACACAGAACCUGCACACUGAACACUUAGAGCCAGAUAAUCCUUAACAGCCAACUCAUCAGACCGUUUGCAAAGUAAUCUGUUAUAUUUGGGAGUGAGAAAGUUCCUGGCCACCACCGCAGCAGUCAUAUCAUUCUUCAUCACGGAAUCCCCAACGGUAAGCGGACCAGUAGGGGAUAAGAAAGAUGGACGCCAUAUGUUGUCUGGAGAAGGCGUGGCUGCCUCUUCAACGAGGUUCAAGUCAAAACGACGGUCGGAGGGGCCAGAAAUUUUCAAAGGUGUUGAAGAGAGAAGUGGUCGGACAAAUCAAGAUCUUAGAAGUGCAAGAAUGGAGCUUCUACUGGUGAAGAUUCAAGUGUGCUUUGGAACUUAAUGUCAGCCUCUAUAAAAAUCUGCACUCGACGGAGCUUCAGAAAUCGAAGAGGCGCCUGCCCAGAAAUCGAAGAGGCAUUUGCUUUCUCAAAAGUUGGGCUGCUCAAAGACCACGAGGGUCGAUCUCAGAAAUCGAAGAGGCGUUUGCUUUCUCAAAAGCUGGGCUGCUCAAAGACCACGAAGGCCGAUCUCAGAAAUCGAAGAGGCACUUGCUUUCUCAAAAGCUGGGUUGCUUAGAGACCACGAAGGCCGAUCUCAGAAAUCGAAGAGGCACCUGCUUUUUUCAGCCUUGUCAGCACCUGUCACAUGCACACUCAGCUUUGCUGAAAUUACGGGCAUUCUGUUGAAUAUUUCUGGUGAAGUAGAAAGCACGUGAAUCUUAUUGUUCAAUCAUCCACUUUCCACACGCACCAUCAGCUCAUGGGUACCAUAGAUAACUUUGCCAAAGAUCUCUGACAAAGUUUAGACACGUGAAGCUUGCAGCUCCCACUACAUCGCUAUGAUCAAGAAGGGUAAAAGAAUAGCAAAGAAACAGCACUAACAAAGUUUAGAUACAUAAAUUUUGAAGGUCUAGCUACCAUAUUAUUACCUACAAGGGUAAAGGAACAGCACCGCUGCUGGAUAAUCGGAAAGUCCUUGUAUGUCAACCUAUGUGCUCUGUGGCAAGGUAGACUAGCAAACAUGCCCAAACUUUACUUACAUUCGAGAAAACACUCCCAACAAGAUUGCUUGCUCCAAAAUCGAAGAGGCACCGUCCUCUGAAUCUCGAGAGCCAGACUCCCAACAUGAUUACUUUCUCAAAAUUGAAGAGACACCGCUCUCCGAAUCUCGAGAGCUAGACUCCCAGCAGGAUUGCUCUCUCAAAAAUCGAAGAGGCACCGUUUUCCGAAUCUCGAGAGCCAGAUCUCCGACAAGAUUACUUGUACGAAAACCGAAAAGGCACCGCUUUCUCAACUUCAAGAGCCAGAUCUCCUUGGAUAAAGCUUGUCUGUAAUCUUCACACGCAACAUCAGCUUUCCAGAUACCACAGACCACUUUUUCAAAGUGCUCUGACACACGUGAAGCUAGCAACUCCCACUACCGUGCUAUGACCAAGCAGGGUAAAGGAAUAGUAUUACUACUUGUUGUUAGGGAAACUCCUAUAUAUGUCGACCUCCAUCCUCAACGGACAGGCAGACCUGCAAAAAUGCUCAACACUUCCUCAUAUCCGAGAGGGCACUCCCAACGAAGCCUCUCGAAAUACUCAGCUUUCUUUCCCCCCGAUAAUACCUCUGCAAACAAGCUACACCAGAGCAAGAAUAUCUCAUAUCAUCAGGGUUAAAAGCAAGAGUAUCCCAUAUCAUGCUUUUUCCCUGUCUUUUCCUUUGGCCUUGUUCUUACCUGCAAGACAAGGAGAAAGAGAGCAAUCAGUCAGCACUUGGAAUCAAGCUUCCAGUCAGGAACUGACUGCCUGGAACCCCUUACCUGAUUACUUACCUGGCAUUGCUCUCGAGUACCCAUCUUCAAAAUCUUAUGCUUCCAGAGAAGAUACCACAUCUGCCUGAGGAACAGAUAGGGAAAGUGAGAAGGAUACAAGGAAGCAUGUGGAGACAAACGUAACAGAACACGUGCCGAUACAUCCACUACUUUGUCAACAGCAAAAGUAUCUCAUAUCAGCAGGGUCGAACGUACUCUAGAUUUGAUGGACGUGUUUUGACCCUCAAAUUCUUCAGUCGGCCUUAUACUCUGGAAGAAACCAGAAAAUCCUCCAGCCCAGUUCAAGAAUAAGCCUGUGUAAAGUUACUUAUUCAAAAGCAAAAGUAUCUCAUAUCAUCUAUUCUCCUUUUCUUCUCUUUAUCCUUCAUGCUGCCUGCAAGAUAGGGAGAAUGAGAACAAUCAGCCGGAACUCGAAAUCAAACUUCUGAUCUGGGACUAAUUGCUUGGAGCUCUGAUUGCUUACCUUGUCUGUCACCUUUUUCAGCAUAUCCCCUAGCUCGGUGACUUGGGGGACUCCUACUACAUGGUUUGUAUCGCGCUUGACCAAGCCUGAAACUACAAGUAAGCUUCAAGUGAAUUUGAUACAUUACCUUGUGCAUCUCCACCAGUUAAAGAUACCACCCCUUGAUGGAGGAAGCGUACUUCCAGAGAAGAUGCCACAUCUACCUAUGAGACAGUUAAGGCAAGUGAAGACGAGAGCAUGCACCUAUGUGAUUUGUACUAAAUCAUUCACUUGUACUCACUAAAGGAGAGCUUGAACCUAUGUACUUGCGUAAACUCUUCACAAUUAAUGAGAACUCCUCUACUCCGUGGACGUAGCCAAUCUGGGCGAACCACGUACAUCUUGUGUUUGCUUUCUUGUCUCUAUCCAUUUACAUACUUAUCCACAUUAAUGACCAGAGCAAUCUAGCGAAGAUCACAAACUUAAUACUCUCUGUUGUACCAAAGUCCUCACUGAUUUUGUGCAUCAACAAUCCUUAAGUCUUUACAUUUUUGCGUUGGUAAUGGAUGAGUUAAUAGGACAUAUUCAAGAUGAUAUUCCUUGGUGUAUGCUUUUCGCAGAUGAUAUAGUGUUGAUAGAUGAAACUCAUACGGGGUAAAUGCGAAACUUAACUUUUGGAGAGAAGUGUUGGAAUCUAAAGGUCUUCGCCUAAGCCGAUCAAAGACAGAAUAUAUGAAGUGCAUGUUCAUUACAAAUGGAGGCCAAAAUGAGUUAUGGGUGAGGAUCGGAGAUCAGGAAAUACCAAAGAGCGACCGUUUUCGCUACCUAGGAUCUAUAUUGCAAAAGAAUGGAGAAUUAGAUGGAGAUCUCAACCAUAGAAUACAAGCUGGAUGGAUGAAGUGGAAUAGUGCUUCUGGCGUGUUGUGUAACCGUCGUAGGCCACUAAAGCUCAAGGAAAAAUUUUAUAGGACGGUAAUAAGGCCGACGAUGCUGUAUGGCACAGAAUGUUGGGCAGUGAAGCAUCAACACGUACACAAAAUGGGUUUAGACAUGUACAAAGAAGGCCUACUGACGCUCCGGUUCGAAGAUGGGACUACGAGAUAGAGGUUCAGGGCCGAAGGGGUAGAGGUAAACCUAGGAAAACUUUGGAAGAGACCCUAAGAAAAGACUUAGAGUACUUUGAUCUAACGGAGGAUAUGACACAAAAUUGCGCACAAUGGCGUUCUAGGAUUCAUAUAGCCGACCUCACUUAGUGGGAAAAGGCUUUGUUGUUGUUGUUGUAUGAGGAUUCUUGCAUUGAACAUUUUCAUUGUUGAAUUUUCACAGAAUGAUGCUGGUGGUGGUUUAGUGUUCUGGCAUCCAAAGGGUGCUAUUGUGAGGCAUGUAAUGGAAGAUUUGUGGAAAAAGAUUCACAUAGAACGUGGUUACAAUCUGCUUAUACUCCACAUGUUGCAAAGGCGAACCUUUGGCAGAUAAGUGGUCAUCUGGAUUACUACAAGGAGAAUAUGUAUGAUCAAAUGAAUGUUGAGGAUGAACUUUAUCAGCUUCGACCGAUGAACUGCCCCUAUCAUAUCUUGGUUUACAGAAAGAAGCCUUACUCAUAUCAUGAAUUUCCUAUUCAAGUUGUUGAGUUGGGAACCGUUUAUAGAUACGAAUUAUCUGGAAGCUUGCAUGGUCUUUUUCGUGUAAGAGGUUUUACUCAGGUACAGUGUUAGUAUUUGCAAACUAUUAGUCUAUAAUCCUUGGUGUAUGAAGUGUUUUUUUUUUUUUUAACCUCAGGACUUGUUGCAGGAUGAUGCCCACAUAUUUUUUCAAGAAGAUCAGAUCAAAGAUGAAAUUAAGGGUGUCCUAGAUCUUACCGAAUAACUUUUGUUGCAAUUCGGCUUCAGCAAAUAUGAGGUCAAUCUCUCUUCGAGGCCAGAGAAAGCUGUUGGAGAUGGUGAUAUAUGGGUGAAAGGCAACAUCUGCCCUUACUCCUUAGAGAUGCUUUGGAUGAUAAAGGUUGGAGCUAUCAAAUUGAUGAAGGUGGUGGUGCCUUUUAUGGUCCAAAGAUUGAUCUUAAGAUUGAGGAUGCCCUUGGAAGGAGGUGGCAGUGCUCAACUAUACAAGUUAAUCCUGAACUCAUGACGGGAUAAUUCUAAUGUACGCUUUGUUUUUUAAUUGGUAGUCUCUAUGUCUAUCUCCGUAUCACUUUGUAAAAUGUUCAUUGGAGAUUUGAGCAUCUUUUUUUAAUUGAGCGAAUUACAUGGAUUUGUUUGCUAGAGUAAAGCCACUUAUUAUUGUUAUUUUAAAUUGUUUGAUCUUUUGUACUUCCCAAAUUGUACAAGUUGAUUUUCCAUUAUGGCUUUCGCCAAUACAAGCUCAUGUUUUACCAGUUACUGACUCUCAGGUUUGUAAAGCAGUUGCACGUUUAAUGUUUCAAUUAACUCAAGGACCCUCAACACACCUGCACGACGGUUACCUGGGCUAUGACCCCUGACUCUCCUCCCAGUGAUUCGACUCCUUUGUCGACUCCGAGUCGCUCAAGGACUCCACCACCGAUUCCCCAAUCUUCCACGGCUCCACCAUAGACGACGCUUUCGAACGGCCAGGGCUUUGAUGGAGGGUUUGGCGGGUCCGACGAUCCCAUUUUGCCGGUUCCGUCUGAGAUACUGCCUGAGGAGGGCUUCGCUCUCAGAAAAUGGAGGAGGUAGGAUCUCGAAUUCUAAUUGUUUUCAAUUGAACCGAUAGUUCUGUAUAGCAAUUAAAUUUUGACUCUUUUGUGCAAUUUAGUUGAAAGUUGUUGGUUUUGAUUUGGCUUGAUCUUUCUGUUGAUGAGAAAUUAGGUGGAAAUUGUUGUUUUGAUUUCGAUAGUUUUCAAGAAUUGCAUGCUUAGUGAUCAGCAAUCGUCUGGCUUUAUCGGGUAAGGAGAUAAAGCAAUUAAAUUUCAAAAUUUGGAUUUACAGUUCGUAUUUUGAGCCUGAAUUCAUGAAAACAAACAUAACCCAUUAUUUAUUAGCGAUUAAUGAUCUGAUUAAUUUAGUUUUUAAUCAUAAUCAAUAGCAUGUAGCUUUAAUGGAAGUGGGGUUUGGGAAAUUGGCUAGCACCCAUUUUGCUUUUUGUUUGUCUGCUUUCCAUUUCUCCUCUCUCUUGCCAUCUUCUUUGUAUUUUGGCUACUUCUCUCUCCCGCACUCCCUUUUUAACUCUUGGUUCUGUGGUUCUCCGGCUGCCGUUAGGUUUUUGUGGUCGAACAACGAUGGAAUCCGAGGAUGAUGACUACUACAGCAACGACAAUGACUCCUAGAAAUUUUUAUUUUGAAUUCGGAAUUGGUUUGAUUGAAGCCCCCUAAUUGAUUGUAUUUAGGUUGGAUUUUUAUGCAUCAGGAAUUUCAAUUGAAGCCUCCUAAUUGGAUAAUGUUUUUCCCAUGUUAGGCUUCUCUGAUUGAGGUGAUACAGAUACCAAAUUGGAGCGGUGCUGUUAGUGGAGGAAUCUGGUAGAAACGAUGAGUUUGUAGAUUGAAUUUGUAUAUGAUGAUAAUAAAAAAUGAUAUGUUGUUUUCGUAAUUCUUUUUGCUUUCAAAGUUUAUUGCUUGGUUGUGUUCGUAACCUCUGGGUUCUUACGGUUCUUUGUCUCUCUUACUUCAGAUUCUUUGUGUUUUUUAUCAUUCGUUUGUGAAGAAAUGGGUCGUACGUAGUGGUAAGGCUCUGAGGAAGGCACUUGCCACCAAGGUGCGUUUCGUUUGGGUUUCUGAUGUCUAGAAAAUUAGAAUUGAUAAUUGCAAGCAAUUUUUUCCGAGAAACAAUCAGAUUAUUGAAUCUAAGUUGCUAAUUGUUUUAAUUUUGUAUAUGCUGCAAUUAAAUCAGCACCCGCAACUGAAGGUGUCAAGAAGCCUGACUGCUACCGCCUUGGAAUCGUCAUUUUUCGGUAAGUUUUCAACACAAUAUAGUUCAAAUCCUCUGAAUCAUGUUCUUGAAUUUUACUAUAUGUAUCGUGUUCUUUGCAUUUCGUUAUCUGAAAUUUGUUCUUUGAAUUUGGUUACCAGAAUCGUGCCUAAUGUUUGAUGUGGCCAGUGGCUUUGUAUGGUUGGCUGGUGUGAUUUGGGAGUGUUUUUAGUUAAUGGCAGACAUAGGACAAAGGUGUGGGGCAGCGAAGUCAAGUGGGAUUAGGAAUUUAGGAUAGUAGACUGUUUGCUAAUUUAUGGGAUUAGAAGUCUUCCUUUAUUUUUUCUCUUCAUGUAACAACAACAACAACAACAAAGCCUUUUCCCACUAAGUGGGGUCGGCUAUAUGAAUCCUAGAACGCCAUUACGCUCGGUUUUGCACAUGUCCAAACCCAUUUUGUGUACGUGUUGAUGCUUCACCACCCAACAUUCUGUGCCAUACAUCAUCGCCGGCCUUAUUGCCGUCCUAUAAAAUUUUCCCUUGAACUUCAGUGGCCUACGACGGUCACACAACACGCCGGAUGCACUCUUCCACUUCAUCCAUCCAGCUUGUCUUCUAUGGUUGAGAUCUCCAUCUAAUUCUCCGUUCUUUUGCAAGAUAGAUCCUAGGUAGCGAAAACGGUCGCUCUUUGGUAUUACAUGAUUUUCGAUCCUCGCCCCUAACUCAUUUUGGCCUCCAUUUGCACUGAGCUUGCACUCCAUAUAUUCUAUCUUUGAUCGACUUAGGCGAAGACCUUUAGAUUCCAACACUUGUCUCCAAAGGUUAAGCUUCGCAUUGACCCCUCAUGAGUUUCAUCUAUCAACACUAUAUCAUUUGCGAGAAGCAUACACCAAGGAAUAUCAUCUUGAAUAUGUCCGGUUAACUCAUCCAUUACCAACGUAAAAGGGUAAGGACUUAAGGAUUGUUGAUGCACAAAAUCAGUGAGGACUUUGGUACAACAGAAAGUAUUAAGUUAUUGCUCUGGUCAUUAGUGUGGAUAAGUAUGUAAAAGGAUAGAGAUAGGAAAGCAAACAUAAAAUGUACGUAGUUCACCCAGAAAGUAACUUUCCACAGGCUUAUUCUUGAACUGGGCUGGAGGGAUUUCUGGUUUCCUCCAGAGUAUAAGGCCGAUUGAAGAAUUUGAGGGUCAAAACAAGUCCAUCAAAUCUAGAGUACGUUCGACCCUGCUGAUAUGAGAUACUUUUGCUGUUGACAAAGUAGUGGAUGUAUCGGCACGCGUUCUGUUACGCUUGUCUCCAUAUGCUUCCUUGUAUCCUUCUCACUGUCCUUAUCGGUUCCUCAGGCAGAUGUGGUAUCUUCUCUGGAAGCAUAAGAUGUUGAAGAUGAGUACUCGAGAGCAGUGCCAGGUAAGUAAUCAGGUAAGGGUUCCAGGCAGUCAGUUCCUGACUGGAAGCUUGAUUCCAAGUGCUGACUGAUUGCUCUCUUUCUCCUUGUCUUUUGCAGGUAAGAACAAGGCCAAAGGAAAAGACAGGGAAAAAACAUGAUAUGGGAUACUCUUGCUUUUAACCCUGAUGAUAUGAGAUAUUCUUGCUUUGGUGUAGCUUGUUUGCAGAGGUAUUAUCGGAGGGAAAGAAAGCUGAGUAUUUCGAGAGACUUCUUUGGGAGUGCCCUCUCAGAUAUGAGGAAGGGUUGAGCAUUUUUGCAGGUCUGCCUGUCCGUUGAAGAUGAAGGUCGACAUAUAUAGGAGUCUCCCUAACAACAAGUAGUAAUGCUAUUCCUUUACCUUGCUUGGUCAUAGCACGGUAGUGGGAGCUGCCAGCUUCAUGUGUGUCAGAGCACUUUGAAAAAGUGGUAUGUGGUAUCUGGAAAGCUGAUGUUGCGUGUGAAGAUUAGACACAAGCUUUAUCCAAGGAGAUCUGGCUCUCGAAGUUGAGAAAGCGGUGCCUCUUCGGUUUUCAAACAAGCAAUCCUGCGGGGAUCUGGCUCUCAAUAUUCGGAGAACGGUGCCUCUUCGAUUUUUGAGAGAGCAAUCCUGCUGGGAGUCUGGCUCUCGAGAUUCGGAGAGCGAUGUCUCUUCGAUUUUGAGAAAUUAAUCAUGUUGGGAGUCUGGCUCUCAAGAUUCGGAGAACAGUGCCUCUUCAAUUUUAGAGCAAGCAAUCUUGUUGGGAGUGUUUUCUCGAAUGUGAGUAAAGGCAGGGCAUGUUUGCUAGUCUACCUUGCCACGGAGCACAGAGGUUGACACACAGGGACUUUCUAAUUAUCCAGCAGUGGUGCUGUUCCUUUACCCUUGUGGAUAAUAAUAUGAUAGCUAGACAUUCAAAAUUUAUGUGUCUAAACUUUGUUAGUGCUGUUUCUUUGCUAUUCUUUUACCCUUCUUGAUCAUAGCGAUGUAGUGGGAGCUGCAAGCUUCACGUGUUUAAACUUUGUCAAAGAUCUUUGACAAAGUUAUCUGUGGUACCCCUGAGCUGAUGGUGCGUGUGAAAAGUGGAUGAUUGAAUAGUAAGAUUCAUGUGCUUUUUACUUCACCAGAAAUCUUCAACAGAAUGCCCGUAAUUUCAGCAAAGCUGAGUGUGCAUGUGACAGGUGCUGACAAGGCUGAAAAAAGUAGGUGCCUCUUCGAUUUCUAAGAUCGACCCUCGUGGUCUCUAAGCAACCUAGCUUUUGAGAAAGCAAGCCUCUUCGAUUUCUAAGAUCGGUCUUCGCGGUCUUUUAGCAGCUCAGCUUUUAAGAAAGCAAACGCCUCUUCGAUUUCUGAGAUCGGCCCUCAUGGUCUCUGAGCAGCCUAGCUUUUGAGAAAGCAAACGCCUCUUCGAUUUCUGGGCAGACGCCUCUUCGAUUUUUUAAGCUCCGUCGAGUGCAGAUUUUUAUAGCGGCUGGCAUUAAGUUUCAAAGCACACUUGAAUCUUCACCAGGAGAAGCUCCCUUCUUGCACUUCUAAAAUCUUGAUUUGUCCGACCUCUUCUCUCUUCAACACCUUUGAAAAUGUCUGGCCCAUCCGACCGUCGUUUUGACUUGAACCUUGUUGAAGAGGCAGCCACGCCUUCUCUAGACAACAUAUGGCGCCCAUCCUUCUUAUCCCCUACUGGUCAUCUUACCGUUGGGGAUUCCGUGAUGAAGAAUGAUAUGACCGCUACGGUGGUGACCAUGAACCUUCUCACUCCCAAAGAUAACAGACUAUUUUCCAAACGGUCUAAUGAAUUGGCUGUUAAGGAUUCUCUGGCUCUGAGUAUUCAGUGUGCAGGUUCUGUGUCUAAUAUGGCCCAACGCCUAUUUGCUCUAACCCGCCAAGUUGAAUCAUUGGCAGCUGAAAUGAUGAGUCUCAAACAAGAAAUUAGAGGGCUCAAGCAUGAGAAUAAACAGUUGCACCGGCUCGCACAUAACUAUGCUAUAAACAUGAAGUGGAAGCUUAACCAGAUGAAGGAAUCUGAUGGUCAGGUUUUACUUGAUCAUCAGCGGUUUGUGGGUUUGUUCCAAAGGCAUUUAUUGCCUUCGUCUUCUGGGGCUGUACCGCAUAAUGAAGCUCCAAAUGAUCAACCUCCGAUGCCUCCUCCUUCUAGGGUUCUGUCCAAUACUGAGGCUCCUAAUGAUCCCCCUCCGAUGCCUUCUCUUUCUAGAGCUCUACCAACUGCUGAGACUUCUCCUAAGCAACCUUUAUGAAGGCUCCCUCUUGUUUGUUUAUUUUGACUCAUGUAUAUGUACAUAUUUGUAACUUAUCGGAGAUAUCAAUAACUAAGCUUUGCUUCAUUUCCAACGUAUUGUGUUAAAUACACCAAAGCCUUCUUCAUUGAGUGGAGUCCGCUAUAUGAAUCUUAGAACGCCAUUGUGCUCGGUCCUGUGUCAUGUCCUCCGUUAGAUCCAAAUACUCUAAGUCUUUUCUUAGAGACUCUUCCAAAGUUUUCCUAGGUCUUCCUCUACCCCUUCGGCCCUGAACCUCUGUCCCGUAGUAACAUCUUCUAACCGGAGCGUCAGUAGGCCUUUUUUGCACAUGUCCAAACCACCGUAACCGAUUUUCUCUCAACUUUCCUACAAUUUCGGCUACUCCUACUUUACCUCGGAUAUCCUCAUUCCUAAUCUUAUCCUUUCUCGUGUGCCCACACAUCCAACGAAGCAUCCUCAUCUCCGCUACACCCAUUUUGUGUACGUGUUAAUGCUUCACCGCCCAACAUUCUGUGCCAUACAGCAUCGCCGACCUUAUUGUCGUCCUAUAAAAUUUUCCCUUGAGCUUCAGUGGCAUACGGCGGUCACACAACACGCCGGAUGCACUCUUCCACUUCAUCCAUCUAGCUUGUAUUCUAUGGUUGAGAUCUCCAUCUAAUUCUCCGUUCUUUUGCAAGAUAGAUUCUAAGUAGCGAAAACGAUCGCUCUUUGGUAUUUCCUGAUCUCCGAUCCUCACCCCUAACUCAUUUUGGCCUCCAUUUGCACUAAACUUGCACUUCAUAUAUUCUGUCUUUGAUCGGCUUAGGCGAAGACCUUUAGAUUCCAACAGUUGUCUCCAAAGGUUAAGCUUCGCAUUUACCCCUUCCUGAGUUUCAUCUAUCAAUACUAUAUCGUCUGCGAAAAGCAUACACCAAGGAAUAUCAUCUUGAAUAUGUCAUGUUAACUCAUCCAUUACCAACGCAAAAAGGUAAGGACUUAAGGAUGAGCCUUGAUGUAAUCCUACAAUUAUGGAGAAGCUUUCGGUUUGUCAUUCAUGAGUUCUUACGGCAGUCUUUGCUCCUUCAUACAUAUCCUUUAUAGCUUGGAUAUAUGCUACUCGUACUCCUUCAUUCUCUAAAAUCCUCAAAAGAAUGUCUCUUGGGACCCUAUCAUAAGCUUUUUCCAAAUCUAUAAAGACCAUGUGUAAAUCCUUUUUCCCAUCUCUAUAUCUUUCCAUCAAUCUUCGUAAGAGAUAGAUUGCCUCCAUGGUUGAGCGCCCUGGCAUGAACCCGAAUUGGUUGUCCGAAACCCGUGUCACUUACCUCAAUCUAUGCUCAAUGACUCUCUCCCAAAGCUUCAUUGUAUGACUCAUUAGCUUAAUACCCCUAUAGUUCAUGCAAUUUUGUACGUUGCCCUUAUUCUUGUAGAUAGGCACCAAAGUGCUCUUUCGCCACUCAUUUGGCAUCUUCUUCGUUUUCAAAAUCCUAUUGAAAAGGUCAGUGAGCCAUGCUAUACCUGUCUCUCCCAAGACUUUCCACACUUCGAUCGGUAUAUUGUCUAGGCCCACUGCUUUAUAAUGCUUCAUCUUCUUCAAAGCUACAACCACUUCUUCUUUCCUGAUUCGACGAUAAAAUGAGUAGUUUCUACACUCUUCUGAGUUACUCAACUCCCCUAAAGAAGUACUCCUUUCAUGUCCUUCAUUAAAAAGAUUAUGAAAAUAACCUCUCCAUCUGUCUUUGACCGCGUUCUCUGUAGCAAGAACCUUUCCAUCCUCAUCCUUGAUGCACCUCACUUGGUUUAGGUCCCUUGUCUUCUUUUCCCUUGCUCUAGCUAGUUUAUAGAUAUCUAACUCUCCUUCUUUGGUAUCUAGUCGCUUAUACAUAUCGUCAUAAGCCGCUAACUUAGCUUCUCUCACAACUUUCUUCGCCUCUUGCUUCGCUCUUCUAUACCUUUCACCAUUUUCAUCGGUCAUGUCCUUGUAUAAGGCUUUACAACAUUCCUUCUUAGCCUUCACCUUUGUUUGUACCUCCUCAUUCCACCACCAAGAUUCCUUUUGGUAUGGAGCAAAGCCCUUAGACUCUCCUAAUACCUCUUUUGCUACUUUUCGGAUACAACUAGCCAUGGAAUCCCACCUUUGGCUAGCUUCCCCCUCUCUAUCCCACCCAUACUGGGUGAUUACUUUCUCUUUGAAAAUGACUUGUUUUUCUCCUUUUAGAUUCCACCAUCUAGUCCUUGGGCACUUCCAAGUCUUGUUCUUUUUUUCUCACUCUUUUGAUAUGUACAUCCAUCACCAACAAGCGAUGUUAAUUAGCCAAGCUCUCUCCCGGUAUAACUUUGCAAUCCUUACAAGUUAUACGAUCCCCUUUCCUCAUUAGAAGAAAAUCUAUUUGUGUUUUUGACGACCCACUCUUGUAAGUGAUCACAUGUUCUUCUCUCUUCUUAAAGAAGGUGUUGGCUAAGAAGAGAUCAUAUGCCAUUGCAAAAUCCAAGAUAGCUUCCCCAUCCUCGUUUCUCUCCCCAAAACCAUGGCCACCAUGAAAACCUCCAUAGUUGCCUGUCUCCCUGCCCACGUGUCCAUUUAAAUCUCCUUCUAUAAAUAACUUCUCCGUCUGGGCAAUUCCUUGCACCAAGUCUCCAAGGUCUUCCCAAAAUUUCUCCUUCGAACUCGUAUCAAACCCUACUUGAGGUGCAUACGCACUAAUCACAUUGAUGAGUUCUUGUCCUAUUACAAUCUUGAUUGCCAUGAUUCUAUCUCCUACCCUCUUGACAUUUACAACAUCUUGUGUCAAGGUCUUGUCCACGAUGAUGCCAACACCGUUUCUCGUUCUAUUUGUGCCCGAAUACCAAAGUUUAAACCCUGAGUUUUCUAGAUCCUUUGCCUUAAGACCAACCCACUUAGUUUCUUGUAGGAACAUAAUAUUUAUCCUUCUCUUCACCAUAACUUCCACUACUUCCUUAGAUUUUCCGGUUAAGGUUCCUAUAUUCCACGUUCCUAAAUGCAUUCUGCUAUCUUGAACUCUACCUUUCUGUCCUAGCUUCUUCACCCUCCCCCGUCCAAUAGAAUCAAAGUACUUCUUUUGUGUGUCCUGUGUAAAGUUGAUAGGAGCAUAUGCUCCCAAACAACUUUGAGUGGAGUCGUUCGAAAAGAAGUUUAUAUGGCCCCCUUGCUCAUUUAACACUGCAUCUAGGUGCUGAUGGAGAUACGGCAACCCUUGCUCACUUAUCACUAUGCUCGGGCCACACAACGCGCCAUUUACGGGUGACGCCCUAGCUUUAGCGCGAUUUCGUGCGAUGAAAAAAAAAAGGUGAGUAAUUUUAACUCUAGUUUGAGGUAAUAACAUGUGAAUUUUUCGUAUUACUGGUUUUUCCCUUUCUAUUAAAAACAACCUUUGAUUUCUUUGAUAGUGCGUUUUUCUAUCUGUGCUAUUGUUGAACUCCCCCAGUUAUCAGUUUUGACUCAAAAAAAAUAUUCGAUGAUAACAUGCAUUGAAUAUUGGCUAAAAUUAUAUUGAAAUUUGCUGGCCGAAGCAGAUAUCGUUAAAAGAGCUCUAAGUCACCCUCUGAAAUUAAUUGCCAAAAGUGAUGUUGUAAAUGGAAGAGUUGUUAGUGAGAAGGCAUUUUUUUUCGUUUCACUUUAUAGACUAUGCUCACUAUCUGUUUAAUAUGUUUCAUCGUAUUAAUUAAAGUCUCAUUUCUCAGGUGCUUUCAAGUGACAACCCCAACUAUGGAUGCAUGCUGCCACUGGAAACUAUGAAAAUUUCAUGGUUGCUGGGAUCACUGAUCCAACUAAAGUGGGUUUCUUUAUCAAGUACUUCAUGAAUAGAAUAUUUUGGAGAUCCUAUCGCUGGGACAGAUUGAAGAAGAUGAAGAUCACAAGGGUGGGAUACUGGGGAGGGUGGUAGGGUUAUGAGGAGUGGGCUCUGGUUGGUUUCGAUUUGACCAAUGUCAUGGUUCGAUGGAAUCGAGGUGAUGGGGAUGAUUCAUGAGGUCACAACCACAAGAUGUAGGGCCUACGCGUGGGGUUUAGGGGUUUCACAUAGAGGCUUACAGAGGGAGGGGGUGCACACGUGAAUUGCAGAGGGAGAGGGAGAAAGAGGGGGAGUAGGGUUGCUAUAUUCAAGUUCUCUUUUUUAUUUUUACUUGAAUUUGAUUUGAUUCUUUUUUUUUUUUGCGACAGGUUGAGAAUGCGAAAGCUCAGCUGGAGGUGGAGGUGAGAAUUUUAAUUUAAUUCAUGGUAUAUCUUUUUUUUUUUGUGGGAUUGUGCUGUUUUUGGGAAAACAAUAUUAAAUUGAAGUUUAGAUAUUUCUGUAAUUGGGAUUUAGAGUAAGAGAUGAAGAACUAUAUGUGAUUGCAAAUUUAAAAGUUUAGAACUUUUUUGGUUUGGAAGCUAAUUUUAAAUUCAGCUAGCUGAUUAAUUAAUAGAGAAAUUAUAACGAAUGUGUGAUACGUUUUUCAAUGCGUAUGAGCAGACAUGGGUACUGCUUCAGCGGCAGCAGCUGCUAUAUGAUGGUAGAUGAGGAAUUCUGAGAUGCUGAGUGCUCUUAGUGUCAGAGAUGAAGACUUGAUAAUGAUCGUUCCAAUUCUGCCUCAAGGUAUACUUGAUAAUGUUGUCCUUUAUGUGCAAUUCACUGUAUGAUGCUCGUUCCUUUAAUGAGCCUGUCAAUAUAUUUCAAUGCACCCACCAAUUGGUUUUAUCAUCAUACAUCAUUCGUGAGAAAUGGGAUGGUGAGUUUCUCAAUACAGUUUUAAUUUUUGUGCGAAUAAUGUUUGUAAAAAGUCUGUUUUUAUUUAGUUCAUUGCAGAUUCUUAUUCUUUUAUUUAGUUCACGAUUCAUGCUUUUAAAGAUAAGAAGUGCAAGGCUCUCUCGGAUGUUAGUUUUGGGUGGCAAUUGAAAGAUACGAGGACAAACAAAAAUACCUACCAAUUGAAAGGAUAAAUUCAAUUGAAAAUAUUUGGUUCAUCAAUUAUUAUAGUUUGAGCUUUCUGCAUUAAAUGUCCAGUUUUCGGGAAGAGUGAUUCAUGUAAUUGGGUUUUAUUAAAAUUUUCAUGAUUUUAUACAGUUUUUCGUUUAAAUUUGUGGAUUCAUAAACACUUUUAUGAGUGUUAAUUUCUGUUCGUAUGUCUAAAAUUUGUUUGGAAUUUGGCUGUUUCUUCAAUUUCAUCACCACCUAUUCUCACAACUUCAUUUAAAGUGUUUUGCAUGUAUAAGAUUCAUAUUCAUGGAGGUCAUUUCAAACGGAUUUCAAGCUGAGCUGCAGAAAUUUGAUUCAAAUUGGUGGAUUUGGGUAAGAAACUAAGAAACCAUUAUCUUUUGUUUCGGUUUUAAGAACUGAAUUUAAUGGUUAAGUUUAUGUUUCAAGAUUAUCUUCCUUUCUCCUAAAUACUGAGUUUUAUGAGAUUACAUUUGGCAAGUCUGAAAACGGAUUAGAAAUACAGAGUUUUAUGAGAUCUAUUUGGCAAGAUUAUCUUCCUUUGUCCUAAAUACUGAGUUUUAUGAGAUCUAUUUGGCAAGUCUGAAAGUGGAUUGCGUAUGUUUAUAUCUCCCUUUCUUCUAAAUACUGAGUUUUAUGAGAUCACACCAUCUUAUGUUUAUUGUAUAAUCUUAUGCAGUCAGAAGAAUUAUCAUCUUUUUCCUUUUAGAUUUCAACAUAUUUGGAAAUACUUCAAAUUUUUUGUAGUGUAGUUUGUACUUGUAGUUUACAUGAUUACGUAAGUUCUAUUUCUUUAGUAAAUUUUUAUGCAGGAAAGAAAGUCAUUUCUCAGUUUAUAGUUAACAUGAUUACAUAAGUUAUGCUUAUCUUAUCAACCUCAUUCACUCGUAUGUUGCUCUGUUCAUUCAUGAUUGUGUUAAAUUUAUUCAGGUUAAAAGUGUCUUAUUCAUGCAGUUACGCAUGAAACAGUUGUUCCCGCGGCAACACGUGGGCUUAUUUUCUAGUUCCAAUGUAAACCUAGAGACGAAACGAGGUCAUAUAUUACAAAGACAUAUUCUAAAACAGCCUUAGCUCAGAGAAUAAAAAAAGGAAAACUAAUGAAAAUGGCUUGAAAACUUUGAGUUUUAACGAUAUGGACAAAAUAAAGGGUAAAGUGAACAGUAUCAGGUUUGACUUUUUAGUGUAAAAAUGUGAUUUUUCGUUAAAGUAAACAGUACAGCAGACUUUUCGUUAAAACUCCCAAUAAAAAAAACCAUGCAGUGAAAACAUCUAAGGGAAACGAGUUGAUCCUCAAUAAACGCCUCAAUAGAAUGACAUCUUUGUUAAAGCAUCUGUUAUAAAAUUAGCUUCAUCUAAAACAUGAUAGAAGCUGAUAUGAUCAAGCAUACCAUGUUUGCCAACAUAAAAGAAGGAUCUUUCCAAGUUUAGGAAGGUGGGAGUUGCCAAAGAGAAACCGAUUUGAGCCGCAUUUUCUUCAAAUAUCUCAGGCAAACGGUCGGCUGACAAAAUGCAGUCAAUGGCUUCAACAUCUUGAGAAUAAAAGGCACAACUAGGAUCAAUUGGUUGUACUUCAUAUAGGGAUAAGACUUGAGUCUCGUCUUUCACAUAUGUUUACUUGUUCAUUCCGGCCAUUAUAUGGUACAACACUGAACAUAGAGUACAACUUUUCCGGCCUCUAAGUCCGGAACCCUCCCAAACAUUGGACACUACAAUACCAAAAUAAAGCAAUAAAAUACAACAGUACAAUACAAUAUAGUUAAAAGCAAUCCAUCUUAGUACAGACUCAAUCGGAUGAAUCAACGGAGCCCUAGUGUUCAAGCUUCCAUCCUUGCGGUAAACUUAAGUGGUGGCUUCAAGAAAUGGAUAAUCAGUGUAACCAAUGACGGGAUCAGUGUGUAAAAUGUCUCUCUGUUGUACUUGUUUAGAGGAGCAUUAAGUUCAAAUCUCUUUGGCAAAUCCGGAUUCGCCAAGAAAAUACGGCCAUAAGCAAUAAGAUCUGCACGGCCCUCGCCCACAGCUCUGUUUCCAUCUUCCCUGUGAUAACUGUAAAUCAUUGUGUAUGUUGAUGAAGAAAGAAUAUGCAGGAAGAAAGACAGAGAGAAAUGUAGAAGAAUAAGAGAGUAAGAGAGUUUAGAGAGUAGAGAGAGAAUCAAGAAUUGUAUUUUCUUUCUAGUUAGUUACAACUGACUAUUACAACAUGUAUUUAUUUGUAUUGGUAGCUUACACUCUAAGCCACACAAUAACCACCUUAACUAACUCUUAUAUCACAGCUAUAGAAUCUUAGUACACCUAUCAUCCCCCCUCAAGCUCAGGGGCAGAGAAAUUGAGCCUGAGAUUGGCACAAUGAGUCUGAAAGAGUGGUGUAGAAAGACCCUUGGUGAGGAUAUCUGCAAACUGCUCAGUAGACGAUACAAACUGAACAUGUAGUUGCUGUUUUGCAACCCUUUCUCGAACAAAAUGGACAUCAACCUCAAUAUGUUUCGUACGUUGAUGUUGAAUUGGAUUGCAAGUCAGUGCAAUUGCAGACAGGUUGUCACAGAAAAGUAAUGGGGGCUCGGCCAAAGGAAUCUGCAAGAACGACAACAGAGAUUUAAUCCAAUCCAAUUCAGCCGCUGUAGUAGAGAGAGCUCGAUAUUCAGCCUCAGUUGAUGAGCGAGAGACAGUGUGUUGUUUCUUAUACAUCCAUGAAAUGGGAUUAGACCCCAAGAACACCACCAUUCCAGUUGUGGACCGUCUAUCGUUCGGAUCACCCGCCCAGUCUGCAUCACUAUAGGCAGUAAGAUCAAGGGAACCUCGAAUAUACUGAAUACCACAGCCUCGAGUAGCCUUUAAGUACCUAAGAAUCCGUUUGACAGCCAUAAAGUGGGAGUCCAUUGGUCGCUGCAUAAACUGGCAGACCUGAUGCACUGCGAAAACAAUGUCAGGCCGCGUAAAAGUCAAGUACUGGAGAGCACCAACCAAGCUCCUGUACAUUGUAGGAUUAUUAUAAGGCUUGCCAUCAUUGCUGAGAAGACGGUUGUAAGGCAAACAUGGAGUAUCACACGGUUUGGACAAUAGCAUAUCAGAUUUAGUAAGCAGAUCCGUAACAUACUUGUCUUGAGAGAGAAACAAACCAUUCUUGUUCUGUACAAUUUGAAUGCCUAGAAAAUAAUGAAGAGGUCCCAAGUCUUUCAUAUCAAACUCAUGAGUAAGAGCUUGAAUAACCUCAGUGAUAGCUUGUGGAUGGCUGCCUGUGAUGAUAAUAUCAUCAACAUACAACAACAGAAUCACCACAUAUGUGUCAACAGUUUUUACAAAUAAAGAUGAAUCUGCAAAUGUAGACUUGAACCCUAAGGAAGGUAGAAAAGUAGUGAACCUUUCAUUCCACCUGUGGUGCCUGUUUCAACCCAUAAAGCGAUUUAUGUAAUCGACAAACAUAAUCUUCAUGUUUAAGAUCAACAAACCCAGGUGGCUGUGUCAUGUAGACCUCUUUCUUGUAAAUAUGCCAUGGAGGAAGGCAUUUUUCACAUCUAAUUGUCUCAAUGUCCAACCAAAGUUUGCUGAUAAAGCUAGAACGAUUCUCACUGUUGUAGGUUUAACAACAGGGCUAAAAGUCUCUCCAUAAUCGAUUCCUUCUUCUUGAUUAAAGCCUUUUGCCACCAGCCGUGCCUUAUACCUCCCAAUUGAGCCAUCAGCAUUCUUUUUUAUCUUAUAUACCCAUUUACACCCGAUUAAAUUCUUGUGACGGGGCAAUGGAACCAAUGACCAUGUUCCCUGAUUAUGCAAAGCCAAUAUCUCAUCUUGCAUAGCAUUAAACCAAACUGGGGAUUUCAACGCAGACUUAUAUGUUGCAGGUUCCACUUAUGUCAAAUCAACCCCCCCAUGUUCAUGAACCUGAGCAAGUAAAGCAAGCUUCUUAAUAAUACCACUUUUGGAUCGUGUCUGCAUAGGAUGGAAGUUCACUGGGGGAACAGAGAGAACCACUUGGAGCUGCUCAGGUUGGAAUUCAGGUACCACAGGAGGUGCAGGGGAGAAGGGUUGUGUAGUUGGAGAAGUAAUGGAAUGAGUAGCAGUUGAAUUUCCUGCACUGUCAGGUGAACCUGUAAUUGGAACCGUAGUGGAGGCUGCUGAAAGUUGCUGGAGUACCAGAUUUGGCAUGCCACUAGAGAUAGAAUCUGAGCUUAAUGAUGCAGGACACUCAGUGUAGGGAUUAAGUGACUCGUGUAACACAAGUACAUUACUAUGAUUAGGAACUGGAAUUGGUGUUUGAGAAUGUGAUGGAGGUGGUGAAAUAGUGGUACAGUGAGAUUUAGAGACCAAAGAACGAUAAGGAAACUCUGUCUCAUCAAAUAAAACAUGUCUAGAAAUAUACAUUUUGUUUUUAGAAGCAUCAUAACAAAGAUAGCCUUUAUAGUUAGAUGCAUAUCCCAAAAAGAUACAUUUUGCAGUGCGGGGAUCUAACUUGGUAUGAGUAUAAGGCCUUAACCAAGGAUAACAAGAACAGCCAAAUAUUUUCAAAUGUGUUAUUACUGGUAUGGAAUUGUGCAGCAAUUGAAACGGAGAUAAAUUUCCCAAGGAAGAAGAUGGCAUUCUAUUAAUGAGGUACACUGAGGUUUUGCAGGCAAAAGACCAAAACACUGAGGGUAAGGAAGCAGACUGUAGCAAAGCAAUGGAAAUUUCAAUAAUAUGCCUGUGUUUUUGUUUAGCUAUUCCAUUCUGUUCGGGUGUGUAAGGACAGGAAAGUUGGUGCUUAAUUCUUUUAUCAGACAAAAAUUGUUGAAAUGCUUUGUUUAUGUAUUCACCACCACCAUCACUGUGAAGAGUUUUAAUGGCUACUUGAAACUGAUUUAAGAUGAAAUUGUAUAAAGAAACAAAUAUACCCGAAACAUCACUUUUAUUGCACAUGGGAAAAAUCCAGCAAUAUUUUGUACAAUGGUCAAUGAAAGUGACAUAAUAUCUAAAUCCAUCUAGAGACACACAAGGAGCAGGACCCCACACAUCACUGUGAACAAGAUCAAAAGGUUUUACAGAUUUAUCUACGGAGGAAGGAAAUGGGAGUUUACUGAAUUUGCCCUCUAAACAUGGGUGACACAGUGAAGGUGUUUGAUCAGCAACACAAAGAACAUGUGAGGAUUCUAAAAUGCGGGAAACAAUUGAAUUAGAGGGAUGACCUAAUCUCUUAUGCCAAAUACUGGUAGUAACUUGUUGUCCCAGAAAAGCUGCAAGGUUCCUUUUGUGGAUGACUGCAGGAGAACUUGGUGAGAUGAUCGGAUACAAACCAUUGUUACACAGCCCUUUGUAAAGCACCCUCCCUGUGGCUUUGUCGUGAGAGAUAGCUAAACCUUCACCAUUUGCAGUCUGAAUAGUCUCAUUAGACGGAUAUGGAGUGGACAAGGAAAGAUUUCCCAAGUCUGAAGUCAUAUGAUUAUUUGCACCUGAAUCAGUAAGCGAAAUUUGCUGCUGUGGAGGAGGAGAUGGCACUGAGAAAGAAGGAUUAGGACCAUUGAGUGUUGCAGCAUGCAUAGCACUCAUUUGAGGAUUGGCAUUCUUUUGAAAACAUGUUUCUGCAGUAUGAUUGGAGUUCCCACAAAUAAAGCAGCCUGAGGGACCACUUGUAUUUCGAAAUCUACAGGUAUCAGCCAUAUGGUUGUGCUUCCCACAAAUUUGGCAACCUUGUGAAACAUUCAUGUUUCGAAAACGACAUGUAGAAGCCAAAUGAUUUGACUUCCCACAUAUUUGACAAAGUUAAGGCUGAAACCCAUAAAUCUGUGUUCUUGGCGGAGAAGCACCAAGAAUGCCAGGUGCAGGAUUUGAAGAGAAGUUCUUUUUAUUACCAUAUCUCGGAUUGAAUUAGAACCAAAACGAUUUCUGCCUUUACCAUUGUGAUUAAAAGACCUGUAUGCAUUUGUAUUGGAACUAGGAUAAUUUCCACCAGAACCUGAAAAAGACUGAUUCUUGGACACCAAGUCAUUGUUCUGUGCCAUUAGUGCAGACAAAACAGGUGAUGCAGAAAUGGUUUCAAUCAAUGCUUCUUCAGCCAACAAUUGAGAACGAAGAUCUUUCAACGAUAUCACAGUUUCACGACCCCGAAUCACAGAUCUUAUAGUAUUAAAUUCAGCAGGCAGACCAUUCAAUGUAAGAAUCACCAUAUCAUCAUCAUCAAAGAAAACACCAGCAGCAAAUAGUAAAUCCCGUGCUUCUUUAAUCUUCUGCAAAUACACAGUGAUAGAAUCAUUACCCUUCUUUAUAUUUUGCAGUUCAGAUUUGAGUUGAAAGAUACUGGUUCUUGUGAUAGUUGAGAACUGUUCUUUAAGCCUAGUCCACAAUUCUUUGGAACUGGUACUACCAAUCGCACAAGAAAUCCCAGCAGGGGACAAGGUUGCAGUGAUCAACUGCAUUAAUGCUUUAUCAUGCAUCUUCCAUACUCUGUAAUCAUCCGAUUGAACUUGGGUAGUAGAACCCCCAGAUAAUUCUUGGCAAAAUUGGUCAGGACAAGGAAUCGAGCCAUCAACAAACCCAAUUAUACUAUGGCCUUCAAGCAGGAGCUCCAUCUGAAAAUGCCAAGCCAAAUAAUUUGUUUCAUCCAACUUCACAUUAACUGAACUUGAAACCGACGAGAUCAAAGAAGCAAUCGGAGACUGAAGAAUAUGUAACUGAGUAGCAGUCACCAUUGUUACCAAUUAGGAGAAAAAUCCCAAGAAAUCUUGACAGAGGAAUAACCACAAACACUUGGUGGGUGUACUUUGAUCGAGAACGAAUCAAAGGAAGAAGAAGACUAAACCAGCCCAAAUUUUAACACAAGAAAUCACAGCAAGGAGAAGUAAUAGGGUAGAAGCGGAAGCAACCAUAACCAAGAUCGAAAUCCGUCAAGCUUUCAUGCUUGUUCCGGCGAUGAUACCAUGUAAACCAUUGUGUAUGUUGAUGAAGAAAGAAUAUGCAGGAAGAAAGGCAGAGAGAAAUGUAGAAGAAUAAGAGAGUAAGAAAGUUUAGAGAGUAGAGAGAGAAUCAAGAAUUGUAUUUUCUUUCUAGUUAGUUACAACUGACUAUUACAACAUGUAUUUAUUUGUAUUGGCAGCUUACACUCUAAGCCACACAAUAACCACCUUAACUAACUCUUAUAUCACAGCUAUAGAAUCUUAGUACACCUAUCAAUAACCACCACCAGCAAUGAAGGUACCAUGGAAAGCCUUUCUCAUGGGAAGAAGACUCUGGUGGGUUUCAGCUUUUUCUCCUAAUGUCUUCAUCCUCGGCUCAACCAUGUGGCAGUACACGAUUCCAUAUUUGUUCAAGGCAUUGGCCAUAUAGAGGCCUAAUUCUUUUGGAUUUGAAUCCCCUGAGUCCAUAUAGUCAGCAAAUGGAGAUAAUCUAAUUCCAACUUUAUCUGCUCCUAUUUCGUUAGCGACAGCUUCAACAACUUCCAGAGGAAGGCGGCAACGAUUCUCUAGAGAUCCACCAUAUUGGUCUGUUCGAUCAUUCACAUGAUCUUUCAGAAACUGAUCAAGAAGGUAGCCAUGCGCCCCAUGAAUUUCAACUCCAUCGAAGCCUAUAUAGCAGAUUAACAAUUUCAACAUACUGACGGUAUUAGAACCCUAAGCAUUGUCGCUGAAUUACCAAACAAAUAAUAUAAAGACAAACUACCGGCUUCAAUAGAAUUCCUUGCAUAAGCUUUGAAGCAAAUUGAGUUGUUGUAAAUUAUGUUUCAUAUGUAACGUAAAGACAAAUUACCAGCUUCAAUAGAAUUCCUUGCAGUAAGUCUAAAAUCAUUGACAAUUUGCGGAAUUUCAUCCGUCCUUAAUCGUCUUGGAGGCGUGAAUUCAGAAGCAUCGAUGCCAUUUAAUCGUAUCGGCUUGUCAGUAGAAGAUAUGGGAGCUUGCCCAUUUGGUUGAUAACCUGUAAGCAAGGAGAGAGAAUUACAACCUGAAGUCUAACGACAGUAACUAACAUCCACAGCAGCACUCUUUUAAGUGGGAAUCCUUUGUUACAAAUUACUAUAACCACACGUGCUAUAUACUAGUUCUGAAUUCUGAGUUAUGUUAACAUCAAGCUUCUUCCCAUCCAAUAAUAAUAAUAACAAUGCUUCCGAAGCAGCAAAGUCAUAACAAGUCCAACUCGGAACUUAACAAGUCCAAGUUUUAUCGUCAUUUUGAGCAACAAUGUUGUCAAUUAUAAUCACUAGCUCGUUCUGAUGCAUACACCAUUAUGUUAUACAUCAAACUUCUUAAUCGGUCUAAUUAUUCACUCAUGUUAACAAAGCAUACUAUGGUAAAAGUG